UUUUAUGCCCACAUAUGAUGGCCCAAGCAACUUUGCAAACAACCUCAUUGGUCACCGCCUAUACUAUGGUUUCCGUACCACCAUCACGCCAAACAGGAAGGCCCUUGCUCCGAUAUUCAUGGACAGGGAAGUAGGCUCGACAGCUGGUUUUGAGGAGCGAGUGAGGCAGGUCAUGAUGAAGACAUAUAUUGGUGGCCCCCACAAGCGCAUUCAUCCGGAACCUUUCUAUACAAACUCAUGGCCAGAGUGCUUUUGCCAGGAGAACCCUAGGAAUCAUGCAGACAAAUGCCCACCGGACAAUAUAUACGAGGUUCUGGAGAAUCAAUUUCGGAGUGAAGAGAAUGAAGAAAGUAUAGAAGUGAAAGCCACGAGUCAGACUGAUUCAAUCAGCCAAACCGAAGAGACUGUGAUUUAACUGAGGAACCAAACUGUCAUUGCCUUAGAGGACGAGACUGGAUCAUUUAUGCCCGUAGAAGAUUAUUGCAUUUUCGAAUGGAUUGACUAUCGAGGGUACGGUCAGGCCUAAUAAACUUUCUGAUGGAGGUAGUAUUUCAUCACAAAAAAGUCACAAAAAAUUACACAUGCAGUCUACAUCCAUAUGAGCAUUUAGUUUUUUUGGGUUUUUUUUUGAAACUUCAGAAUACCAUUUUGGCACUAUUGAAAAUAUAGUGCUCACUGGAGCGGGUGCACCAAAGUGUUCUUUUGUUGUCUCCCCGUUUCUCGUUUCUGCGAUGAUUACUAGCUUGGUGUUUUGUUGGAGACACAUAAUGGAACAAGAACCCAACUUUACAUUACUAAUGAAAGCACACCGCCAACCCUCUGGCCAGUGGUGAAAGAUUGCAAGCUACGUUUCGUGGGAUGAUGCCCCAACCAUCGGUUUCAUUAGUCACUAGGUCUCGUGGGGUGAUCCUCAACCAUAGGUUUCUUGAGCUGUUUCUAGCGGCACGCCAUUGUGGUCUUCAAAGUUGGUACGGCGAGGGCACUUGCAGAUGUAUCUUUCACUUACUAUCUGUUAAGUGCAAUUUUCAAGUUUCAGCAAGCGCCGCACAAUGGGAGUGUUGAGAAUACUCCCUCCGUCCGGAAAUACUUGUCGAAGAAAUGGAUGUAUCUAGACAUAUUUUAGUUCUAGAUACAUCUAUUUUUAUGCAUUUCUGCGACAAGUAUUCUUGGACGGAAGGAGUAUUUGGUAUUUAAAGAUGGACUGUGCUAACUUUUGAAUAGUCGGAAGUUAGCUACAUAUCCAGACGAUUUGAUCAAGUAGUAUAUCUACUAGGUGUACGCCGUGCUCCUGUUUUUUCCUAAACCAAACUCAUUCAGUAUUAUUUUCCCCUAAUUGCUACAUGCAUGCAUGUAAGACAAAAUUGCUAAUGUGAGCAGAGAUUCCAUCAAAUUCAAAAAUUUAAAAUGUUUUGUAACUCAAAUCAUCCUUUGAUUGAAAAACUGUUUUCACAUAAAAGAUCAUCCCAUGGCGAUACAUUUCGAUGAUUUUUUUUCUCUGGUAAGAAGUUGCCAUCAUGCCUAUGAUGCAUAAGUUAUCAUGUUGUUUACAUAGAAAUUACCGGGGCAUAAAAAAAAGUUCCUCCAACAUUCUUUUCACAAGCACAUGUGUGCAUGCAUUAGAGAAUUUUUUAAUGUCAUCCUAGUCCUCCCUGUUUGAGACUUCAAAAUGUUUUAUAGCUCAAAAUCAUUGGUCCCAUAGAAAAUUUGUUUUCACAUAUAAAAUCCAUGGCGACGGGACCUUUGAAACUAGAUCUCAUGUUGACAUGUUCUGACGACUUUUUUUCAUGCAAAUAGUUACCAAGGCUGGGCUAAGUAAGUUAUCAGGUCUGAUGUGUGUCUAUUAUCAUGCUAUUUACACAUGAGUUAUGGUGGUACAUUUUCAACAACUAUUUUCUUAGUACAAAGUUACCGCGAUGUUUGUGCGUGAGUUAACAUGCCUGUGGUAUGUAUAUUACCAUGCUAUUUCGCAUAAGUUAUCGAGGGUAUGUUUUCAAACAAGUUCCUCCCCGGGUCAAAGUUAUCACGGUGUUUGUACAUGAGUUAUCAAGUCAACGGUGCGUAUAUUGUCGUGAUAUUUAUACGGAACUUGUCGGGAGGGGGGGGGGGGGGAUAUGUUUUCAAACAACUUUCUCCCCUGCCACCACCCCCUUCAAACUUACCGCGGUAUUUAUGUGUAAGUUAUCGUGUAUAUGGUGCCUACAGUACCAUAUUAUUUAUAUGGAAGUUAUUGGGGAUGUUUUUAAACACCUCCCCAGGCAAAGUUAUCAUGGUGUUUGCGCAUGUGGGUGUAAAUUAUCAUGCUAUUUAUGCUGAAGCUAUCGGGAUGUCUUCAACAACUUUUUCUCCCGGGUCAAAGUUAUCAUCGUGUUUGUGCAUGAGUUAUCAAGUCCGUGGUGUAUUAGUUAUUAUGCUAUAUACGCAGAAGCUAUCGGGAUGUGUUCAACAACUUUUUCUCUUGGGUCAAAGUUAUCACGGUGUUUGUGCAUGAGUUAUCAGGUCUGUGAUGUGUAAAUUAGCAUGUUAUUUCCGCAUAAGUUACCCGACUUGUAUCACAUGUAGCCAGAUAACUACAAAAAAUUAACCAUGUUGGUAACUAUAGUACAUCGAGCCCGAUAACUACAAAAUAACCAUGUUGAUAACUAUAGUACAUCUAGCCCGAUAACUACAAAAUAACCAUGUUGAUAACUAUAGUACAUCUAGCUCGAUAACUUCAAGAAGCUGCCGCCGUCUCGUCUUCCCGAGCGAGACACAAACCCUAACAAAAUUUAAAGCACCAAAAAAUUGAGCCCUCUCGCCGGCAACAGCCGGGAUCCACCGCGCACCCAUCGCGCUAAGGCCACAAGAGACAUGGUAGAUCGACGACGCCGACGACGAGCGGAAGAAACCCUACCCGCCUUUUCUUGGAGGAGAGACUACCUCUAUAUCUGGAUAAUUAAUUGUGUUAAUGGCUCGGUAUGUGAUACGUAAGUCACCACGGUACUUACACAAAACUUAUCAGAGUAUGUUUGAACAGUUUUUUCCAUUGGCUUAUAUGUUAUCAUGGUAUUUAUAUGUAAGUUAUCAGGUCCGUGACACGUAUAUUAUCAUGCUAUUUACACAGAGGUUACUCAGGAUGUUUUUAAUAGUUUUUUCAGGUAAAAAGAAGCUACUGCGAUGUUUCUAUGCAAGCUAUCAAGUUUGUGGUGCAUAAAUUAUCAGGACCUUUACGAAGAAUUUAUUAGCGAUGUUUCAAAACAAACUCUUUUUUGUGACACAUGUGAAAAAGACUGUUGUUCGAAUUUUAUAGGGUGUGGAACAUUUAUUUCUCUAGAUAAUGUUCAUCAUAUGAAAAAGGAAAAGUAUAACACGAUGCAUCAAGCCUUUAAAAAACUCGGAUCAGAUGGUUUUGUCCACUCGUCAAAGUAAGCACGAUUUUAUUGUCCACUCAUUUAAUAAGGUAUACAAUCCAUCUAAUCUAUAUAAAAAAUCAGAACAAAAACUUAGCUCAACUGUUAGCGCACUAUGGCCUCAACCAAUAGGUUGUGUGUUCAAUUCUCUAUUAGGGCCCCUUUUUUCACACGAGACUGAAAGAAAGAGGAUCGAGCGGUUUGUGGCGUGAGAGAAGCGGAUCGAUUUGGUUUUCUUUUGCACUCAUUUAAUAAGGUAUAAAAUACAUCUAAUUUGCAUAAAAAAACCAGAACAAAAAGUUAGCUCAGCUGGUAGUGUGCUACGGCCUCAACCAUCAGUAGCACCUUUUCUUUCUUUUCACGCGCGAGACUGAAAAAAAGAGGAUCGAGCGGUUGUCGCGCGGGAGAAGUGGAUCGAGCGGUCGCCGGGUCGGACCUGUCGUUACAUUCCGAUCGUUUGGAAGUUAGCUUUCUCGUUUAGAGAUUGUUUGGGAUUAGAUAGGAAUUGCUUCCAUCUUAUCUCUAGGAGGCGUCUGUCGGUGCACUAAGGGUGGGUUUGGUUCGGGAACGAAGUGGAAUGGAAUGUCAUGGUUCCAUUCCAGUGUAAUGGGUCGGUUCUGUUCGUGUGUUUGGUUGAGAUAUUUGAUGGAAUAGAAUGGUUAUGUUUCAGCGUUUGGUUUGAGUGAUGGAAUGGAAUGAAUUCAGUUCAAAACAUCUCCUGUAUAAAAAUGAUGAGACUGCAUCUCAUAUGCACAAAUAUACAAUAUGAAAGUAUAAAAUCUUUGUAUUUUUGGAAACAUAAUAUUGAAAUUACCAUAGCAUUUAUAUCAAAUUGUACAUUGACACCAAAUAUGGUAUUCUCUCAAUUGAAUAUUUACGUUGAAUUGUUUCCUAUUGAGAGGACAUAGACGGGUAAAAAAUCAUGAAUGGGCACACAAUCAAGGAAAUUUUGCUCAAAGUUUUGUGACUAUUUAUAUUCGAUUGGAUUUCAAUCAAGAAAAAUUGCUCCCUGUUGCAGCCAGCGACGGGCAGUGAUUGCGUGGGGUAGCCGGAUAGGUGGCCGUCGGAGCUCAAAAGGGGAUGGUCGUCGCAGCUCGCAAGGGGAUGGCCGCCGCCUCAUCAGAUCAAGACGUCAAGUCGCCGCCGUCUCCUAGCAGAUCAGGACGUCGCUGCCCUGUUGUGGAUCCGCUGCCCUGGUCACCGCGCCCAGAUGUGGAUCCGAUGGCUUGGUCGCCGCUGCUCAUCCGUCGGGCUUGGAGAGAGGAGCGCGGAGGAGCAACAGGAGACGAGAGGGGUUGGGGAGACGGAGAGUGCAUCGGUAGGGGAUGUGGAGUGGGUGAGAGGUCGUUCCGCGUCGUUCCACCAAAUUGGAGAAACGAGCGCGUUCCGGAUAUUGGUGGAAUAUUCUCUUUCGGGGAACGAGUGGGUUCUAGUCCGUUCCUGAUCUAAACGCGAGAACCUGGCCCUGGGACGGGUCGGACCCGUGCCAUUCCGUUCGAUGACUGAAACUAAACAGACCCUAAGAACGGGGUCCUUAGUACCCCAGACUUCUUCUUCUUCUGCUCCCCUCCUACUCUUCCUCCUCCUCUUCCUCCUCCUCCUCCUCCUCCUCCUCCUCCUCCUUAUCCUUCUUCUUCUGCUUCUCCUUCUCCUUCUUCUCCUUCUUCUUCUCCUCCUUCUUCUCCUCCUUCUUCCUUCUUCUUCUCCUUCUCCUACUCGAGAAGAGUAAGGGAGGAUUGGGUUGGUGUGAGGGCGGCGGCAGCGGCGGAGGCGGCAAAACUGUUUCUGGUGGGUAGAAGAAGAAGGAGCGGGGGAGAACAAGAGCGAAUGAGCAGCGUCCGUUCGCAGUUAUUUUUUAUGGGGAAGGCACGAGGGGGCUAGCUCUUCACUGUUCUCCCUGGUCGCGUGUAACACCCCGAGGCCGACGCUCCAGUUGCCUUCCAGUUAUUUCAUUGUCAUAGUGUGUUUUAUUUGUUUAUUGCAUUUCAUCAUGUCAUCAUGAGCAUUGCAUCCACAUGUUUUCAUAAAAUUGCAUCCGCUCGUAGUUGCCGCUUCAUCCUUGUCUCUGCUGACCUUCUCUCAGAUCAACCGGACCGCUCACUUCUCUAUCUUAUCAGAGCCCAUCAAACCCUCUUGCCUCCAUGACCUUUUGUCAAACCCCUCACACAUGUCCGAAAGCUGUCCCGAACCCGACCCAAGCAGUCGUGACCAAUGGGUCUGGAUCAUCUCCGAACAUCCCUAAAACAUCUUCAGUUUAUUGUUUGGACUGUUGGGAAACAUUGCAUGGAAAACAAAAAUUCUUCUACGCACACGCAAGAUCUAUCAAGGAGAUGGAAACGAGAGGGGAGAGUGUGUCUAUGUACCCUCCUAGACCGUGAGCAGAAGUGUAUAGUAAUGCGAUUGAUGUAGUCAAACUUCUUCGCGAUCCAACCAAUAGAGUACCGAACGUACGACACCUCUGCGUUCAACACACGUUCAGCUCAGUGACGUCCUCGCCUUCUUGAUCCAGCAAGAUGGCCAAGUAGUGGAUGAGUUCCGGUAGCACGAUAGCAUGGUGACGGUGAUGGUGAAGUUAUCUCCGCAGGGCUUCGUCUAAACACUACGAAAAUAUGACCGAGGGUGUAAACGGUGGAAGGGGCGCCGCACAUGGCUAAGCAAUUGUCGCGGUUAUGUGUGGCGUCCCCUCCCACAUAUAUAUAGGUGGGGGGGGGGGGAGAGGGGAGAGGCCAAGGGGUUCCCCAAGUAGGGCUGAAUCCUAGUUGGGCUCCUGCCCUUGCCCGCGCCCCCCUUCCAUAUUUGCUGGAGGGGAAAAGGGAAAGGGGGGAGAGGGAAGGAAGGGGGAGGCCGAAUCCUCCUUUCCUUUCUCCCACUUGGACGGCUGCCAUAGGGGGUGCACCAGCCCCUUGUGGGCUGGUGUUCUCCCCUCUAAUGGCACCGUCCCAGGGGUGUUCGAUACCCCCUCCGGUAUUCCAUGACUACUCGGUACACUACGAAACACUUCCAGUGUCCGAAUAACAUCGUCCUAUAUAUCAAUAUUUACCUCCGGAUCAUUCCGGAGCUCCUCGUCAUGUCCAUGAUCUCAUCCAGGACUCCGAACAACAUUCGGUCACCAAAUCAUAUAACUCAUAUAACACUAUAUCGUCAAUGAACGUUUUUAUGGGGAAGGCACGAGGGGGCUGGGUCUUCACUGUUCUUCCUGGUCGCGUGUAACACCCUGAGGCCGACGCUCGAGUUGCCUUCCAGUUAUUUUAUUCUCUUCAUGUGUUUUAUUUGUUUGUUGCAUUUCAUCAUGUCAUCAUGAGCAUUGCAUCCACAUGUUUUCAUAAAAUUGCAUCCGCUCAUAGUUGCCGCUUCGUCCUUGUCUCUUGUGACCUUCUCUCAGAUAAACCGGACCGCUCACUUCUCUAUCUUAUCAGAGCCCAUCAAACCCUCUUGCCUCCAUGACCUUUUGUCAAACCCCUUGCGCACGUCCGAAAGCUGUCCCGAACCCGACCCAAGCAGUCGUGACCGAUGGGUCUGGACCAUCUCCGAACAUCCCUAAAACAUCUUCGGUUUAUUGUUUGGACUGUUGGGAAACGUUGCAUGGAAAACAAAAAUUCUUCUACGCACAUGCAAGAUCUAUCAAGGAGAUGGAAAUGAGAGGGGAGAGUGUGUCUACGUAACCUCGUAGACCGUAAGCAGAAGCGUUUAGUAAUGCAGUUGAUGUAGUCGAACUUGUUUGUGAUCCAACUGAUCGAGUACCGAAUGUACGACACCUCCGUGUUCAACACACGUUCAUCUCGGCGACGUCCUCGCCUUCUUGAUCCAGCAAGACGACCAAGUAGUGGAUGAGUUCCAGUAGCACGAUGGCAUGGUGACGGUGAUGGUGAAGUUAUCUCCGCAGGGCUUCGCCUAAGCACUACAAAAAUAUGACCGAGGGUGUAAACGGUGGAAGGGGCGCCACACAUGGCUAAGCAAUUGUUACGGUUAUGUGUGGAGCCCCCUCCCACAUAUAUAUAGGUGGGGGGGGGAGGGGAGAGGCCAAGGGGUGCUCCAACUAGGGCCGAAUCCUACUUGGGCUCCUGCCCUUGCCCGCGCCCCCCUUCCAUAUUUGCUGGAGGGGAAAAGGGAAAAGGGGGGAGAGGGAAGGAAGGGGGAGGCCGAAUCCUCCUUUCCUUUCUCCCACUUGGACGGCUGCCAUAGGGGGUGCGCUAGCCCCUUGUGGGCUGGUGUGCUCCCCUCUAAUGGGCCAAUAGGCCCAUUACCGUCCCGGGGGUGUCCGGUACCCCCUCUUGUAUUCCGAUGACUACCCGGUACACUCCGAAACACUUCUGGUGUCCGAAUAAUAUCGUCAUAUAUAUCAAUCUUUACCUCCGUACCAUUACGGAGCUUCUCGUCAUGUCCAUGAUCUCAUCCAGGACUCGGAACAACAUUCAGUCACCAAAUCAUAUAACUCAUAUAACACUAUAUCGUCGACGAACAUUUUUAUGGGGAAGGCACGAGGGGGCUGGCUCUUCACUGUUCUUCCUGGUCGCGUGUAACACCCCGAGGCCGACGCUCCAGUUGCCUUCUAGUUAUUUCAUUGUCUCCGUGUGUUUUAUUUGUUUGUUGCAUUUCAUCAUGUCAUCAUGAGCAUUGCAUCCACAUGUUUUCAUAAAAUUGCAUCCGCUCGUAGUUGCCGCUUCGUCCUUGUCUCUUGUGACCUUCUCUCAGAUAAACCGGACCGCUCACUUCUCUAUCUUAUCAGAGCCCAUCAAACCCUCUUGCCUCCAUGACCUUUUGUCAAACCCCUUGCGCACGUCCGAAAGUUGUCCCGAACCCGACCCAAGCAGUCGUGACCGAUGGGUCUGGACCAUCUCCGAACAUCCCUAAAACAUCUUCGGUUUAUUGUUUGGACUGUUGGGAAACGUUGCAUGGAAAACAAAAAUUCUUCUACGCACAUGCAAGAUCUAUCAAGGAGAUGGAAACGAGAGGGGAGAGUGUGUCUACGUAACCUCGUAGACCGUAAGCAGAAGCGUUUAGUAAUGCGGUUGAUGUAGUCGAACUUGUUUGUGAUCCAACUGAUCGAGUACCGAAUGUACGACACCUCUGCGUUCAACACACGUUCAUCGCAGUGACGUCCUCGCCUUCUUGAUCCAGCAAGACGACCAAGUAGUGGAUGAGUUCCAGUAGCACGAUGGCGUGGUGACGGUGAUGGUGAAGUUAUCUCCGCAGGGCUUCGCCUAAGCACUACAAAAAUAUGACCGAGGGUGUAAACGGUGGAAGGGGCGCCACACAUGGCUAAGCAAUUGUUACGGUUAUGUGUGGAGCCCCCUCCCACAUAUAUAUAGGUGGGGGGGGGAGGGGAGAGGCCAAGGGGUGCUCCAACUAGGGCCGAAUCCUACUUGGGCUCCUGCCCUUGCCCGCGCCCCCCUUCCAUAUUUGCUGGAGGGGAAAAGGGAAAAGGGGGGAGAGGGAAGGAAGGGGGAGGCCGAAUCCUCCUUUCCUUUCUCCCACUUGGACGGCUGCCAUAGGGGGUGCGCUAGCCCCUUGUGGGCUGGUGUGCUCCCCUCUAAUGGGCCAAUAGGCCCAUUACCGUCCCGGGGGUGUCCGGUACCCCCUCUUGUAUUCCGAUGACUACCCGGUACACUCCGAAACACUUCUGGUGUCCGAAUAAUAUCGUCAUAUAUAUCAAUCUUUACCUCCGUACCAUUACGGAGCUCCUCGUCAUGUCCAUGAUCUCAUCCAGGACUCCAAACAACAUUCAGACACCAAAUCAUAUAACUCAUAUAACACUAUAUCGUCAACGAACGUUAAGCGUGUGGACCCUACGGGUUCGAGAACUAUGUAGACAUGACCAAGACACCUCUUUGGUCAAUAACUAAUAGCGGAACCUAGAUGCCAAUAUUGGAUCCUACAUAUUCUACGAAGAUCUUUAUCGGUCGAACGUUAUGACAACAUACGUAAUUCCCUUUGUCCAUCGGUAUGUUACCCCAAGAUUCGAUCAUCGAUAUCUUCAUACCUAGUUAAAUCUCAUUGCCGGCAAGUCUCUUUACUCGUUCGGUAAUACAUCAACUUGCAACUAACUCCUUUGCCACUUUGCUUGCAAGGCUUCUUAUGAUGUGUAUUACCGAGAGGUCCCAGAGAUACCUCUCCGAUACUCGGAGUGACAAAUCCUAAUCUCGAUCCACUUAACAUUACAACAUAUAACCAUCUCAUACAUAAACUCAUUAUUAUGACGAAGGCUAUACCACAUCAUAUGCAAACCCUGCAAAACCAAGUUAGACGUCCUCUAAUCGGUUUGGAAAAUUUAAUUACGUGGCUUCUAGGGUUUUCGAAUAAACCUAACUACCUACAUGCACACCAUAAAGUGAUAAUCCUUGUUGCCAGAUUAACUUUCGUGGUGUGUGAAAGAAGAGACUUAAUUAAAAAUCUCGUUCCCCCACACUAAACUAAGUCUAAUACAUGUGACCCCCUAGAAGAUCAUCCAUCUUCAUCGCCCUCUUGCGUACGCGACGGUUCACUAUUCUUGACUAUGGUGAAGCCCAAGGAACUGUUAGCAAAUUGUCCACAACCAGAGUUGAGAGAUUGUCAGAACCUUGUAGAAAGCGACACCAUGUCGUCAAUGAACUGAACCGAAGCAACACUCGGGGGAAGCAUAGCAAGAACAUCACCCUCACAUUGAUAUUAAAUUAAAUAUAUAUUUGUUUUAAACAUUUUUAGACCAUGAUGUAUAUAAUUUAACAUCCCCAGAAACAUUUUCCACACAUAUAUAUAUUAAUCGGUAAUACCCAAUAUUCACCGAAACCCUUCCGGUGAACCCGAAACGCUUCCGGAACCUCUCAGAGCUAUUUCGGAUAUUAAUGAAACAAUUCCACAAAUAUAUUCUCAUCAUUCUCGUCCUACUAACACUCAGUAGAUCGUGAUUACCUUAAGCUUGUGACCCCUUAGGUUCGGUAAACCAUAGACAUGAACGAAAACUUUUCGUUCAAUGACCGAUAGCGGAACCAUGGACAUCCAUAUCGGUCGCUGUGAUUAUACGAAUGAUAUUUGAGUGAACCUUUGGUUAUCAUGUGAUGUUCCCUUUGCUUCACGAUACUUAACAAAACCACGUGUGCAUCGGUAUCCUCUUGAGUCAUCACCAUGCUCACUAUACUGUUGCUCUCGUUACCGGUUUUGUUCUUUCUCGUUGACGUGUUCCGGCAUCCCCGUGACUUAGUCACCCGUGUUUGGCCAGCUGAUGAUGGAUGCCGUCACACCGAGAAGGCCCUAAGAAUAUCUCCCCAUUGUUGGAGGAGCAAAUCGCACUCUCGAGCUGUCUAGUCACUUGUCAAACUUUCCGGUGUGCAUGAAAGUUGUCGUUAUGAUCACCUUGUUACAGAUGACGUUUGAGCAACCCCAAAGCCCACCGUCUGGUAGGAAGUGACUGAGACACUCUCAUGGUCCGAGGAACUAAAACUCAUGCUAACACUCUGUGUUAUACCAGAUGAUUUCAGACGAUAUAAUCACAUAGUAUAACAGACAAGUAUUUGGUCGAUUCAAUAUGAUCGUUCUUCUAACGUCAUACCCUCAAUGUUGUUCUAGGAUUGUCGUUACACUUAAUGAUAUCCUAAGAUCCGAAAAACGUGAUCACCAACAACACUUGAGCCAGUCUUAGUGGCGAGAUCGGGAACCUAUUGUUACCGUUUAUCAUUCCACAUGUGCAUAUGAGUUUUCCAUUAAACCGCAUAUUCUAGGAUCCUAACAGUUAUAGCAUGGAAUAUAAACUCUUAACUAUGAAUAUGGAAAUAUAGUAAUACAAUAUUAUUGCCUCGAAGGCAUAUUUCCAACACCUUGUAGCUAGAACUGUGAGAUACAUGUGUAUGAAUAUCUGUUGAAAUCCACCGGUGAUGCAUGGUUUGACAAAUUGGUAUUCAGAGCAAGAAUUCCUCGGAGGCCAAUCGAGUUAUGGAGCAAGCGUUGUUGAGAUCUCUUGUAGAACCCCCCCUUUUGCAACGACGGUUUUGAACUUUGUGUGGCCGUGAUUAGACGACGACGAUUCCAUUCAGGUGUAGUUCAGAAGCCACCAAUGUGGUUGUUGGGGAAUUUUUUUCCUUGUAAAAUUCCAUACAAGAUUCGCUCUGUAGACCUUGUCGGCGUCCCGGUUGCUGCGGUGAGAUUUGAUCGCUAGGGCGGGUUGUGAGCAAGUCUCAACAUGAAAUUCCCACUAGGGCAGUUUGUUGAGCAAGUCUCAAUGUGAAAUUCCUUCUUGGAUCAUUUAGAUGUGAAAAUGUGAAGAGGAAACCCAAGCAUGGAUGAGGCCGAAUACCAAGACCUCCUAUCCAUGAAGGGCGACGUCCUUGAGUAUCAGAAGGAGACUGCAUCUCUUCUCUCAGACAUGACAAUAUUGCAAACUAAGGUACGAUUAUCGACUCGAGUUGGAUUAUCUGUGGGUUGCGCCCCUUGGUCCUGUCGGACCAUGUCGUGCGCUGGUAGCUCUCAUUACCAUGCCUCCCAAGUAGGCACGAUGCCUGACCGACUGCUAGGCUCGAGUGGUUGACUCCACGCCUGAUCAUGGGAUGUGUUGAGCCCUCUGGUUGACAGGCAUGCCCUUAUGUUGUGUCCUUGUUAGUAGCCCCCGAGUGCCGCGUGACCUACUUGCCGGGAGGUUGCGUGGGACUUGUUUGAUCUACUCGCUCCCAUGUGAAGGUGAAACCUUGGAUCAAGACAUUUGAGGACCAACCUUUUCGAGUAUUGACCAACGAUCAGUUGAUGGUACGCUGUGUUGACCGAAGGUCCACCGACUGCAAGGAGAAAGAUUCUCAUGGUACGCCAUGUUGACCGAAGGUCCACCGACUGCAAGGAUAAAGAUUCUCAUGGUCCUUGGCCCUCUAAUUGACUGAGGGCAAGGGACGAAACAGGGGCCGGUACGCCAAGUCUUGCUGUCCAAUGUUCGUGAUGCCAUUAGGAGGUUUGGGAACCAAGGCAUGCUUGCGUGGGGUGUUGAGUUACCAUUCUAAAUGGUUGCAUCGGAGCUGAUGUGGUGAUUCCCGAGGGUGGGGGUGUUUUGGUUUCCCUUUUGCCUAUAAGAUAGGCGGCGAUGAGGAGCAGUGAGGUUACCAAGCCCUUCUUGCCUUCGUCUUCCUUGCUGCCGUGUCAGGACCCCGAUUCCAUGCCACACCGAUCUGGCAUGUAACACCUCAUAUCACUUUGCGGCCUCACGCACGGUAUUCCCACGGGUGUCGCCUUACCAUGCCCGGGACCGUUUGCGCCUUUUGGUACACGUAUAUGAUAGUGUCGCCAGCAUCCAUAUGACAAACAACCCGGGCUGGCAUGGCUAGUCGUGAACCCAAAGUGGCACUAACUUACAGGGACAUGCAUACAUGACCCAUCAUCGAACGUGUCGGUCAUCAGCGAGUGAAUCCGGGCUGUAGCAACUGGGCUAGCAGGACUCCGGUAAACCGGGCUGUAGCAGGCUAACAGGACUCCGGUAGACACCGCGUGACAUUUCCCCGAGGGGACAAACACAGGAUCGAAGAAGGACACAUGUCGGCCAACCUAAGUGUUCCGGAGCAGUAGCAAGUUACCAGGGCUCAGUGGAAGCACUAGGAGACAUUUCCCGGUAAGAGAGGCCACUAAGGAUAAACAACUAGAUAGUCAGAUCCCACACAUAGCAAUACACAUUACACAUACGCAUAACAUGCAAGUAUGUGCUGUACAACAUGGCAUCACAGCAUAACUCAACAACUCAUAUAGAUAAAGGCUCAGAAGAGCCAUCAUAGCAUUUAUUACAAACAGGGGUCACAUGACCCAACAUUCAGAGCAAACAAGCAACAAGCGGAAGCAUUACAUGUCUGAGUAUAGACAUCUACAAAUGAAAAAGGCUAAAGAGCCUGACUAUCUAUAACAUCCGAUCAAGAUCGUAGCUGAGGUUCAAGCUACUCGUCGAAGUCCACGAGAACACUAGUAAGACCGAAGUCUCCGCUGCAAAAACAUAAAUAAAGCAACAUGAGUACAAAGGUACUCAGCAAGACUUACAUCAGAUCCUAUCAUACAUGCAUUUGUAUCAAGAGGGUAAUGUGGGGUUUAGUUGCAGCAAGCCAGCUGUGACUCAGUGGCUAUCCUGUUCUACGACUACGAGAAACUCUUGAGGUGAGACAAUGUAACGCCCCGGUUUUGAUGCGCCAGGUGUCUGCCAGUUAUUCGCCGUCAUUGCCAUGUCAUUUGCUUGCGUGUUGCAUAUUGCCAUGUCAUCAUCUUCAUAUCAUCCGCAUGUUUUUCAAAACUUGCAUCCGUUCGGGUUCCGCCGGUUCUCUCCGUUGUCCGUUCGGAGUCCAGACACACUCGCACGCGCCCGCGGCACCUCCGAGAUAUUAUUUUAUAAGUGGCAUAAAAAUGUUCUCGGAAUGGGAUGCAACUUGGCGUGUGGUCUUAUUAUAGUGUAGACAGAGCGCCUGUCAAGUUUCGUCGCAUUCGGAGCUCGUUUGAUAGCCCAACCAUCAGUCAUAGCGGCACCGUUGCCGGUUUAUUCGUCGGACGUUUUCGGUCUCCGGAAAUAGCCGCUGGGCUGCAUUCCUCCUCUUUCCUCUUAGCCCAACCCCUCUUCACAGCCCACUUGCAGCCACCUAAACCCCCCUCCGACCGGAACCGUGGGAUCGCGAUCGGAGGGUCCAGAAACGCCCCCAAACCCUCAAACCCUAGCUCCUAUCUAUAUAUAGACGCCUCCCUUGCCAUUUUUGGCCUCCACCAACCUCCUCCCUCAAUUUCCGCGCAGCCAGCCACCUCCCACCUCGGUUCCACCGCCGCCAGCCGCAGCCCGCCACUUGGCGCCGCCGCCGCGCCCCGGACCAAUCCAGGCGCGCCACGUCACCCAGUGCGCCGUUCCCCUCCACUCACGCGCCUCCACGCGUCCCCCAUCCCCCUCCAGCGCCGCUGGCCCGCCCAGGCCCGCGGGGGACCCGCUGAAGCCCAUCGAAGCCCGCUCGGGGCCCGGAUCUCAGCCGCGCGCCGCCCGAGAGCGCUCGCUCCCCGCACCCCUCCUCCUGCCGACCCGCUCGCCGGAGCCUCGCUGCUCCCGCGCCGCAGGCCGGAGCCGCCGCCAGCGACCUUCCAGGCUGGAGCCUCGCCGCCUCCCUACUCCAUCGUCCUCUCCUCCUCCGUUUUCUCUCUCUCUCCUGCCUCAACGUCUCUCUCUGUCCCCGUCGCAGGUCCGCCAUGGCCGCCCGUGGAGUUGCUCCGACCCAGCCGUGGCCGAAUCCGGGGUCCUCACGCCCGGAUCUGCCCGUUCCCGGCCUCGCCUCGGUCGCGGGAGCUCCCCCAGCCUCGCCGGAGAUCCGCCGCCGCCAUGUCCCUGCUCGGGACGAGCAGAGGAGUUGCUCGUCCCGCUUGCACCGCGACCGCAUGGGCCAGCGGCCCCUCCGCGGCCCACCAGCCCAGCCUGCUGCAGCCUCUCCUUCCUCUCUGGGCCGAAGCCCGUGGUGAGAUACCCCAUAUUCCCCGCCCAGGCGACAUAUUGCUAUAUUGCGAAGUCCCCAGAAACUCAUAAAAUGUUGCAUACUUUGACCUGUUAUAACUUCAUGUGUGUAGCUCCGUUUUGUGCGUGUAAUAUGUCAAAUUGUUCGUCUCAAUGAGUACUUCAUUUCAUUACAUUGCAUCAUAUUCAUUUGAGCUCAUAUUGAUGCCUAAAUCAUCGUUGCAAGAGUGCUUCAUAAUGUUUUCUGCUGUCUGUUAACAGAACUUGCUCUUUUGUCAUUUUUGCCAUGAUUGAUGUGUCCAUCCUAUGAGGUUGAUGUCUACAUGUGUUUUUAUCUAUGCCAUAUCUUAUUUACAAAGGAGCUUACAAUGUAUUUUUGUGAUCAAUGUGGUGACUAGCACAAGCAUGCAAACUAGGCUUCGUAAUGUUGCUGAUUUUAGUCCCUGUUCUGCUGUUAUUUUGAUGCCAUGUAAACAUGUUGCUACGGAGAGAUCCAUGCAUAUUUUGAGAUACUUCAGUAAGGAUUUUUUGAACAUAUGGUUGUUCUCUAUCCAUUCAUGCCCCUGUUUGCAAUUAUGGAGUAGUCUAGCAUGUCAUUUGCUUGCUCUAGUUUUGCUUCAAAAUGUUUCCUGGCAGAUUGUUUACAUGUUAUUCAAUUUUGCCAAGGAUGUUGUAGUUGAUCCUUGCAUGCUAUGAACUUGUUCUUGCCUUGGUUAGCUUCAUAAACAAGUCUUCUUACUGUUGGUUGCCUUGCCAUGCCAUGUAUUGCUCUAUGGUGAGUGGUUCAAGCUCACCAACAUGCCUUCAUAAUUCUGUUUCUGCCAUGUAUGAAUCUGUAAUAUAACUUGCUAUGUUUACAUGGGUGCCAUCAUAUUUUCUGAUCCUUUUUGGGUUAUGGUCAGUAAGGGACUUUUGUUCGAUGAAAUUAGUAGUUUCAUGCCAUGCCUUUGUUUGCCAUGAUAAAUUCCUGUAACAUGUUGUUUGAUAGCUCUAAACAUUGCAACCUGAUGUUAUUUUCUGCAAAGUCUGAAUUGUUAUUAUUUGCAAUCUUGCCAUGUGUGUUUGAGCAUGUUCUAGUGAUUUCUGGAGAUAGCUCAGUGUUCAUGUUUUGUUAUGCUUUACUUGUACAUCAUGCCCAUGUCUUUUGUUUUCAUGUUGAGAUGUUGUAGCUUGUUGUUUUGAUGCUUGCAAUAUGCCUAGUUGCUGUUUUGGACAGAUUGUUGCUAUAACUUGUAUCGUUUGCAUGUGUUGAACCGUUGCUCCGUUUUGAGUGUGCUCUAUAUGAAACUUGCUUAGAAUUGCAUGUUGUUUCAUAUUAUCAUGUUGCAUCUUUGUUUUGAGGUGUUUGCUUGAUGUUUGGGUGCAUUUUGCAUCAAUGCCAUGUUUAACUUGUUUUGCUCAUAUCUUCUAGGCCGUAGCUCCGAACUAAAUGAGCCUUACAUGUAACUUGACUAGAAUCUCGUGUAGAUCAUCUUGGUGCAUCUUAACUUGCUGUUUAACAACUUGAACCUAAGGUUUGUUCAGAUCUGGUCCAAUUUCGAAAUUUGCAGAUGAGGACUUACCGGAAUUGUUAUAUGUUGUUCCCGAUCUCAUUUAAACUUGCCUUGAUGUGUUGCUCUUGUUUGCAUCAUCUCUUGCCUUGAGUAGCCUCAUGUAGCUUUGUCAUACAUCGUGCUUAUUUGUGCAUCAUGCCUUGUUCAUGUGUGGUGUGUUUACCAUGUUGUGUGCUUCUUCUCGAUAGUUCCCGUUUCGUUGCGAUCGUGAGGAUUCGUUCGUCUACACUUGGUUCGGCUUCAUCUGUUCGUCUUCUUCAUGGACUCGUUGUUCUUCCUUGUGGGAUUUCAGGCAAGAUGACCGCUACCCUGGAUCUCACUACUAUCAUUGCUAUGCUAGUUGCUUCGUUCUAUCGCUUUGCUGCGCUACCUAUCUUUUGCUCAUCAAGCCUCCCAAAUUGCCAUGAACCUCUAACCUUUGACACCCUUCCUAGCAAACCGUUGCUUGGCUAUGUUACCGCUUUGCUCAGCCCCUCUUAUAGCGUUGUUAGUUGCAGGUGAAGUUGAAGAUUGCUCCAUGGUGGACAGGAUUUUGGUUGGGAUAUCACAAUAUCUCUUAUAUUAUUAAUGCAUCUAUAUACUUGGUAAAGGGUGGAAGACUCGGCCUUAUGCCUGGUGUUCUGUUCCACUCUUGCCGCCCUAGUUUCCGUCAUACCGGUGUUAUGUUCCCGGAUUUUGCGUUCCUUACGCGGUCGGGUGAUUUAUGGGACCCCCUUGACAGUUCGCUUUGAAUAAAACUCCUCCAGCAAGGCCCAACAUUGGUUUUACCAUUUGCCUCACCACCACCUAUAUUUCCCUUGGGAGUAAUUAACCCGAGGGUCAUCUUUAUUACAGCCCCCCCAGGCCAAUGCUUGUCUAAGUGUUGGUCCAAACUAGAGCACCGUGCGGGACCAUCCCUUGGCAACUUGGGUUACGUUGGUACCUGUACGCUUCGCUUAUCCGGUGUUGCCCUGAGAACGAGAUAUGUGCAGCUCCUAUCGGGAUUGUCGGUGCAUUGGGCGGCUUUGCUGGUCUUGUUUUACCAUUGUCGAAAUGUCUUGUAAACCGGGAUUCCGAGUCUGAUCGGGUCUUCCUGGGAGAAGGUAUAUCCUUCGUUGAUCGCGAGAGCUUAUCAUGGGCUAAGUUGGGACACCCCUGCAGGGUAUAAUCUUUCGAAAGCCGUGCCUGCGGUUAUAGGCAGAUGGGAAUUUGUUAAUGUCCGGUUGUAGAUAACUUGACACUAGAUCCGAAUUAAAACGCAUCAACCGUGUGUGUAGCCGUGAUGGUCUCUUUUCGGCGGAGUCCGGGAAGUGAACACGGUUUCUGGGUUAUGUUUGACGUAAGUUGGAGUUCAGGAUCACUUCUUGAUCAUUGCUAGCUUCACGACUGUUCCGCUUGCUCUCUUCUCGCUCUUAUUUGCGUAUGUUAGCCACCAUAUAUGCUUAGUCGCUGCUGCAGCCUCACCACUUUACCCCUUCCUUUCCCUUUAAGCUUGGCUAGUCUUGAUACCCAUGGUAAUGGGAUUGCUGAGUCCUCGUGGCUCACAGAUUACUACAACAACAGUUGCAGGUACAUGUUAUGCGAUGAUCAUGACGCGAGAGCGAUGCUUGCUUGUUUGGAGUUCUUCUUAUGCUUCUUCGAUCAGGGGAUAGGUUCCAGGUCGGCAGCCUGGGCUAGCAGGGUGGAUGUCGUUUGAGUUUCUGUUUGUGCUUCAUCUGUAGUCUGAUGAUGAUCUUAUGUAUGACGAUGUUGUAUUCGUGUGGCAUUGUAUGCCUUAUGUAUUUAUCCCCGUCUAUUAUGUAAUGUCGAUGUAAUGAUAUCCACCUUGCAAAAGAGUUUCAAUAUGCGGGUCUAUCCUUGGUGGGACCUUCGAGUUCCUUUUGGAUAGGGUCGCAUAUUGGGCGUGACAAGUUGGUAUCAGAGCCUCGACCGACCUUAGGAGCCCCCUUGAUUGAUCGUGUAGUUUGGCCGUUGUUGAGUCUAGAAGAAAACUGUUUUUCGGAGUCUAGUCAUAUCGGAGAGUAGGAAUUCUUUUUACUCCUCAGCCCCUUCGUCGCUCUGGUGAGGAAUCUUGACGUAGGUGUUUUGAAUUACUUCUCUUCCCCUUCAAAUUUUUCUUUAGGAUCACGCAGUUGGUUUUCCGAUCGUUGGUUCUCAUCUCUUUUGAUCCGGUGCAUUUCUCGUCAAGUUGACUCGAGCCUCUUCAUCUUUGCCAAGUUCAAUCCUUAGUUGUUUUCUUUUCCCACCCACCCACCCCUUUUCCUUCUCGAAACCGGAGUCCGUAAUCGAGUAUCCAUUCUACUCGUGCGAAGCCUUUGCAUUCUUUCAACCGGUGUUUUCUCUUCAAGAUAUUCGUCGGUUUCCCCUUCCAAGUUGCUUUUGUUUUCCCGCCCUCCCACGCUUUUCUUCCUGGAGUUUAACUCUCUCUCGACCAUCAAUUUCUUUCGUGUGGAGCCUCUUCAGUCUUUCGUCAAUUGUUUCAACCGGUGAAUUCUCGUCUUGGUGGACAUUCUUCAUCUCUUUUCUUCUAUGGUGGUUUCAAUAAAAGUUUUUCGUUGUCGAUCAUAUUCUUUCCCUCAGCUCAAAUAUUUCCCUUUGCUCGUUCGCCUCUCGCCAGUUUAUCCUUCCGGAGCGUUCAAGACAUCUCAGGAGAUUCGUCUGUGUUCGAAUUAAUUCGAGGUUGCCACCUCAUUCAAAUAUUUCAAUUGUUUCGGUGCAUCAUCUACCUGUUCAACAAUUCUUUCCAACGGUGUUUUUCUUUUAGUGGGCCCUAACCCACAUGUCUUUUCCCAGGAUCUUACCUGACUCUUCUAAUUCCCCCGGAGUGAUUCUCAAUUCUUUUAAGUGUGACGUAAGUAUGAAUUUCAUCAGUCAGAUGCCUUUCCAAGAUCGAUUUCAAAUCAUUUCAUUGUUGGCUCAACCUCUUUGCUUUUCAUUCUCCCGGAGUAUCUCAGUAAUUUCGGUGGUGUUUCUCGUCGAUCGCAGAAGAGUUUUCCUUUAAAUCUUGUCCGUUCUCUCGAAGUUUCGUGAUUCUAGCUUCAUGUUAUCGUCUCGAUUUAUUCCAUUUGUCAGAUAUUCUUUUCACCUAUCCGGAGUAUGUCAGAAGUUCUUUUCCCGUUUCUUUUCACUGGAGGCCAUCGUUCCAGAAGAAUUCUUCGCCCUCAUCAUUCCAGCUAUCAUUCUCUAUUUAUCCCGGUGCUUCAUUCAAGUGUUCUUUAAUCAGCUCGUAUCUCUUCGUUCUUGUGCAUCUAAAUCCCCUCCAGCUUAUUUGUUCUUCUAAUUCUUCCCGGUGAUUCAUUCUCUUUCAUUAGUCAUUUUCUAAUUCUUACGGUGGUUCGUUCAAGAUUCUUUUUCCUUGAUUAUCAUUCAAUCCAUCUGUUCUUUCCAAUCAUAUCGGUGGUUCAUGAAGACCUUCUCAAGUCUGCGAUAUGUCACUUCUCAAUCCCUUUUCAAGAAGAAUAAGUAGUAUGAAAAAUCCAUUGAUUGUCAUCAAUUUAAUUUCAUGAAGGAUAAGCAUACAAUAAAUCUUAUUCUUAUUUCCUCAAAGUGAUUAAUCCUUUUCUUCGGAGUUUGUUCUUGAUGAAUAAAUUCUAGUUCCUAGUGUUUUCAUCUUUUCUUUUCCGGAGUUCAAUUUUUCAUCAGCCAUUUCAUUGGAAUCUUCACCUAAAUCAUCGCAAGCUUUAAUCUUAUUCUUUCACUCUUCAUUCUAUCUCAUCAUCCUUUUGUCACCGGAGUUCUUCAUGGUGGUUCUUCAUGAUUUAAUUCAUCCUUCAAGUGUUCAUCAAGAUCUUGUUGGUGGAGUUCAAGUAUCUUUUCUUCUCGCGUCUUGAAGCGCAAAUAAUUCUUCAUUUUCUUCUGAAGUGGAGUUUUGCAUUUCUUCGUUCUCCACAGCUAUUUAAUUUUUUCCGCUUGCGGUAGGUUAUCACCUCAUAAUUUUUGUGAUGUUACCUAUAAGUCCACAACAAGCUUAUUCUUUUCGUUGUUGAUUUUCUCAACAACUCCAUUCAAUCCUUCCUUAUAAGUUCAUUUCAUUCAAUUCUUCAAUUCUUCCGGAGGCAUUGCGUCGCUUAUGUUGUCAAGUGUCAUUCCAUCUUGUGAAGUUCAUGUUCUAUUCUUUCCUUGUUCAGCCGGAGUGCUGCCUAAAUCCUUUCAGUCUUAUUCGUUUCUUAUCUCGUUCUAACCGGAGUGCUUUCAGAGUCUAUCUUGUUUCCAUGAGCAUUUGAUUCUCGUCACUCUCGUCGUUUCUCUCUUCUUCUCGAGUGCUCUCGAUUCUUUGCCUCUUCUCUUGAGUUCUUGUUUCACCUCAUCCCUUUUCCCUUCCGUCUCGGUCCUAAGAUCUCGGGACGAGAUCUCUUGUUAGUGGAGGAGUGUUGUAACGCCCCGGUUUUGAUGCGCCAGGUGUCUGCCAGUUAUUCGCCGUCAUUGCCAUGUCAUUUGCUUGCGUGUUGCAUAUUGCCAUGUCAUCAUCUUCAUAUCAUCCGCAUGUUUUUCAAAACUUGCAUCCGUUCGGGUUCCGCCGGUUCUCUCCGUUGUCCGUUCGGAGUCCAGACACACUCGCACGCGCCCGCGGCACCUCCGAGAUAUUAUUUUAUAAGUGGCAUAAAAUGUUCUCGGAAUGGGAUGCAACUUGGCGUGUGGUCUUAUUAUAGUGUAGACAGAGCGCCUGUCAAGUUUCGUCGCAUUCGGAGCUCGUUUGAUAGCCCAACCAUCAGUCCUAGCGGCACCGUUGCCGGUUUAUUCGUCGGACGUUUUCGGUCUCCGAAAAUAGCCGCCGGGCUGCAUUCCUCCUCUUUCCUCUCAGCCCAACCCCUCUUCACAGCCCACCUGCAGCCACCUAAACCCCCCUCUGACCGGAACCGUGGGAUCGCGAUCGGAGGGUCCAGAAACGCCCCAAACCCUCAAACCCUAGCUCAUUUCUAUAUAUAGACGCCUCCCUUGCCAUUUUUGGCCUCCACCAACCUCCUCCCUCAAUUUCCGCGCAGCCAGCCACCUCCCACCUCGGUUCCACCGCUGCCAGCCGCAGCCCGCCACUUGGCACCGCCGCUGCCGCGCCCCGGACCAAUCCGGGCGCGCCACGUCACCCAGUGAGACGUUCCCCUCCACUCACGCGCCUCCAAGCGUCCCCCAUCCCCCUCCAGCGCUGCCGGCCCGCCCAGGCCCGCGGGGGACCUGCUGAAGCCCAUUGAAGCCCACCCGGGGCCUGGAUCUCAGCCGCGCGCUGCCCGGGAGCGCUCGCUCCCCGCACCCCACGCGCCUCCUCCUGCCGACCCGCUCGCCGGAGCCUCGCUGCUCCCGCGCCGCAGGCCGGAGCCGCCACCAGCGACCUUCCAGGCCGGAGCCUCGCCGCCUCCCUGCUCCGUCAUCCUCUCCUCCUCUAUUUGCUCUCUCUCUCUCUUUCUCCUGUCUCAAUGUCUCUCUCUGUCCCCGUCGCAGGUCCGCCAUGGCCGCCCGUGGAGCUGCUCCGACCCAGCCGUGGCCGGAUCCGGGGUCCUCACGCCCGAAUCUGCCCGUUCCCGGCCUCGCCUCGGUCGCCGGAGCUCCCCCAGCCUCGCUGGAGAUCCGCCGCCGCCAUGUCCCUGCUCGGGACGAGCAGAGGAGCUGCUCGUCCCACUUGCACCGCGACCGCAUGGGCCAGCGGCCCCUCCGCGGCCCACCAGCCCAGCCUGCUGCAGCCUCUCCUUCCUCUCUGGGCCGAAGCCCGUGGUGAGAUACCCCCUAUUCCCCGCCCAGGCGACAUAUUGCUAUAUUGCGCUCGAUCUGUUUUUUUCAAAAACUGCAAAGUCCCCAGAAACUCAUAAAAUGUUGCAUACUUUGACCUGCUAUAACUUCAUGUGUGUAGCUCCGUUUUGUGCGUGUAAUAUGUCAAAUUGUUCGUCUCAACGAGUACUUCAUUUCAUUCCAUUGCAUCAUAUUCAUUUGAGCUCAUAUUGAUGCCUGAAUCAUCGUUGCAAGAGUGCUUCAUAAUGUUUUCUGCUGUCUGUUAACAGAAGAUGUGUGCAUCCUAUGAGGUUGAUGUAUACAUGUGUUUUGAUCUAUGCCAUGUCUUCUUUACAGACGAGCUUAUCACGUAUUUUUGUGAUCAAUGUGGUGACUAGCACAAGCAUGCAAACUAGGCUUCGUAAUGUUGCUGAUUGUAGUCCCUGUUAUGCUGUUAUUUUGAUGCCAUGUAAACAUGUUGCUACAGAGAGUUCCAUGCAUAUUUUGAGAUACUUCAGUAAGGAUGUUUUGAACAUAUGGUUGUUCUCUAUCCAUUCAUGCCCCUGUUUGCAAUUAUGAAGUAGUCUAGCAUGUCAUUUGCUUGCUCUAGGUUUGCUUCAAAAUGUUUCCUGGCAGAUUGUUUACAUGUUAUUCAAUUUUGCCAAGGUUGUUGUAGUUGAUCCUUGCAUGCUAUGAACUUGUUCUUGCCUUGGUUAGCUUCAUAAACAUGUCUUCUUACUGUUGGUUGCCUUGCAAUGCCAUGUAUUGCUCUGUGGUGAGUGGUUCAAGCUCACCAACAUGCCUUCAUAAUUCUGUUUCUGCCAUGUAUGAAUCUAUAAUAUAACUUGCUAUGUUUACAUGGGUGCCAUCAUAUUUUCUGAUCCUUUUUGGCUUAUGGCCAGUAAGGGACUUUUGUUCUAUGCAAUUAGUAGUUUCAUGCCAUGCCUUUGUUUUCCAUGAUAAGUUCCUGUAAAAUGUUGUUUGAUAGCUCUAAACAUUGCAAUCUGAUGUUAUUUUCUACAAAGUCUGAAUUGUUAUUAUUUGCAAUCUUGCCAUGUGUGUUUGAGCAUUUUCUAGUGAUUUCUGGAGAUAGCUCAGUGUUCAUGUUUUGUUAAGCUUUACCUAUAUAUCAUGCCCAUGUCUUUUGUUUUCAUGUUGAGAUGAUGUAGCUUGUUGUUUUGAUGCUUGCAAUAUGCCUAGUUGCUGUUUUGGACAGAUUGUUGCUAUAACUUGUAUCGUGUGCAUGUGUUGAACCGUUGCUCCGUUUUGAGUGUGCUCUAUAUGAAACUUGCUUAGAAUUGCAUGUUGUUUCAUAUUAUCAUGUUGCAUCUUUGUUUUGAGGUGUUUGCUUGAUGUUUGGGUGCAUUUUGCAUCAAUGCCAUGUUUAACUUGUUUUGCUCAUAUCUUCUAGGCCGUAGCUCCGAACUAAAUGAGCCUUACAUGUAACUUGACUAGAAUCUCGUGUAGAUCAUCUUGGUGCAUCUUAACUUGCUGUUUAACAACUUGAACCUAAGGUUUGUUCAGAUCUGGUCCAAUUUCGAAAUUUGCAGAUGAGGACUUACCGGAAUUGUUAUAUGUUGUUCCCGACCUCAUUUAAACUUGACUUGAUGUGUUGCUCUUGUUUGCAUCAUCUCUUGCCAUGAGUAGCCUCAUGUAGCUUUGUCAUACAUCAUGCUUGUUUGUGCAUCAUGCCUUGUUCAUGUGUGGUGUGUUUACCAUGUUGUGUGCUUCUUCUCGAUAGUUCCCGUUUCGUUGCGAUCGUGAGGAUUCGUUCGUCUACGCUUGGUUCGGCUUCAUCCGUUCGUCUUCUUCAUGGACUCGUUCUUCUUCCUAGUAGGAUUUCAGGCAAGAUGACCGCUACCCUGGAUCUCACUACUAUCAUUGCUAUGCUAGUUGCUUCGUUCUAUCGCUUUGCUGUGCUACCUAUCUUUUGCUCAUCAAGCCUCCCAAAUUGCCAUGAACCUCUAACCUUUGACACCCUUCCUAGCAAACCGUUGCUUGGCUAUGUUACCGCUUUGCUCAGCCCCUCUUAUAGCGUUGUUAGUUGCAGGUGAAGUUGAAGAUUGCUCCAUGGUGGACAGGAUUUUGGUUGGGAUAUCACAAUAUCUCUUAUAUUAUUAAUGCAUCUAUAUACUUGGUAAAGGGUGGAAGACUCGGCCUUAUGCCUGGUGUUCUGUUCCACUCUUGCCGCCCUAGUUUCCGUCAUACCAGUGUUAUGUUCCCGGAUUUUGCGUUCCUUACGCGGUCGGGUGAUUUAUGGGACCCCCUUGACAGUUCGCUUUGAAUAAAACUCCUCCAGCAAGGCCCAACAUUGGUUUUACCAUUUGCCUCACCACCACCUAUAUUUCCCUUGGGAGUAAUUAACCCGAGUGUCAUCUUUAUUACAGCCCCCCCGGGGCCAAUGCUUGUUUAAGUGUUGGUCCAAACUAGAGCACCGUGCGGGACCAUCCAUUGGCAACUUGGGUUACGUCGGUACCUGUACGCUUCGCUUAUCCGGUGUUGCCCUAAGAACGAGAUAUGUGCAGCUCCUAUCGGGAUUGUCGGUGCAUCGGGCGGCUUUGCUGGUCUUGUUUUACCAUUGUCGAAAUGUCUUGUAAACCGGGAUUCCGAGUCUGAUCGGGUCUUCCUGGGAGAAGGUAUAUCCUUCGUUGAUCGCGAGAGCUUAUCAUGGGCUAAGUUGGGACACCCCUGCAGGGUAUAAUCUUUCGAAAGCCGUGCCUGCGGUUAUAGACAGAUGGGAAUUUGUUAAUGUCCGGUUGUAGAUAACUUGACACCAGAUCCGAAUUAAAACGCAUCAACCGUGUGUGUAGCCGUGAUGGUCUCUUUUCGGCGGAGUCCGGGAAGUGAACACGGUUUCUGGGUUAUGUUUGACGUAAGUUGGAGUUCAGGAUCGCUUCUUGAUCAUUGCUAGCUUCACGACCAUUCCGCUUGCUCUCUUCUCGCUCUUAUUUGCGUAUGUUAGUCACCAUAUAUGCUUAGUCGCUGCUGCAGCCUCACCACUUUACCCCUUCCUUUCCCUUUAAGCUUUGCUAGUGUUGAUACCCAUGGUAAUGGGAUUGCUGAGUCCUUGUGGCUCACAGAUUACUACAACAACAGUUGCAGGUACAGGUUAUGCGAUGAUCAUGACGCGAGAGCGAUGCUUGCUUGUUUGGAGUUCUUCUUCUACUUCUUCGAUCAGGGGAUAGGUUCCAGGUCGGCAACCUGGGCUAGCAGGGUGGAUGUCGUUUGAGUUUCUGUUUGUGCUUCAUCUGUAGUCGGAUGAUGAUCUUAUGUAUGACGAUGUUGUAUUCGUGUGGCACUGUAUGCCUUAUGUAUGUAUCCCCAUCUAUUAUGUAAUGUCGAUGUAAUGAUACCCACCUUGCAAAAGCGUUUCAAUAUGCGGGUCUAUCCUUGGUGGGACCUUCGAGUUCCUUUUGGAUAGGGUCGCAUAUUGGGCGUGACAGACAACGUACACGAGUCCACUAAUCACCACACAAAACACUACUAUGGAUUCAUCCCCGUCUCCCUACGAGAAGGCCAUCCAUAGCACUCACACUUGUCUUGAACAUUUUAGAGUAUCCACUUCAAGUUGUCUAUGUACCAUGUAAGCAUCCAAGAGGUCCAUAACCGCGGACCCGGCUAUUCAAAUAGAUCAUGCUAACCCUGCAGGGGUGUACUUCUUCACACACGCUCUCGCCACUUACCUCCAUGUACACGUCAUGUAACUCGGCAACCUUCAAGCGGAAGCCUGGCGAGGGUGUUGGCCAUGACCUGACUAACCACACAAGACUCCAAUCCAGGUUUAUUGCCUAUUUGGGUUCCAUCCACAAGGAGAUCCGGCCGGGGUGUCACUCACGACCCCAAACGAUGUGAGCAGGGUUCCCAAGCCCACCAUCCGGGUGCCACUUGGUACACCGUGCCACCUGUGCCUAGUCUGUCCCAAGCCCACCCUGCCGGGUGCCACUCGAUAGAAAAAUAGCACUACCUACAAACACCAGAAACUAGUUGCGACUCCUGGACAGAGAUCAAGUUGGUUAAUAAGCCGAGAGGGCUUGGAGCACCCGGAGCCCAAUGUGUGGUAGUAUCGAGUCAUUGGACAACAUACAUAGAACUCAGUGCUUAAGGAUGGUUUCAGUGAGACAACCCACCAUGUACUCCUACAUGGCCUCUCACCGCUACCUUUACCAAAUCGUGUUCACACACUUCACUCUCAGCAUCAGAACAUAUCGUAACACUCCAACUCAUUCCCAAUGAAUCAGACCUGACACAACUCUAAGCAAUAGCAGGCAUAGCAUGGUAGGAACACAACAUGGCUCAAUCAACUCCUACACAUGCUAGUGGGUUUCAACUAUUUACUGUGGCAAUGACAGGUCAUGCAGAGGAAUGGGUUCAACUACCGCAGCACAAAGUAGCAGAUGAAUCAUUGUUGUCCUAAUGCAAUAAAUGAGAGCAGGAGCGAGAGAGUAGGGUUGUAUCGUAAUGAACAAGGGGGUUUGCUUGCCUGGGAGAUCAACAAGGAAGGCACUGCUCCUCAGACAGGUACUCUGCAGCACUCUCCGGAGCAGGACCUAUCGAGAAGGAACGGUGUCGGCAAUCAAUACACAAGCAUAUGCAACAAUAUGAUGCAUGAUCAUGGCAUGUAGAUGUGAUGCUAUUUGAGCUAAUGCAACUAGCUGUUAUUUGGAUGGAGUCCAUUUGAACCAAAGAUUCAAAUGCACCUCCAAAAUAAGCCCUUUAUAAAUGCCAUUAACAUGUUUUCACCUAUACAGGAGGUUUAGGUUGGUUUGUCAUGCAUGAAACUAGUACAGAUGGAUAGAUUGCAUUUUUCUGAUAAUUUUUCAUAUAUAAAUUAUUUCAAUCUGAGCUACGGUUAAAUUUCUAUGAUUUUUUGAAGUUUAAAUCAUUUUCUGGAAUUUCCUGAUUUAAUUUAAAUCUAGAAAAUGGACAACUACGUCAGCCUGACGUCAGCGGGUCAACGGCCAGGUCCAGGUCAAACCUGACCAGUGGGACCCAUACGUCAGUGUCAUGGUUAAUUAACAGAGUUAAUUAAUUGUCAAGCUAAUCUUAAACUAAAAAUUAGCAGGGCCGGGCCCCACAUGUCAGUGUCACAGGGGGGGGGGGUUAGUUAGCGGGGUUGACCCAGUCAAUCCCGCCGGCGUUUAGCCGCCGGCGAGGCCGAUCGCGGCGGAGGGCUCAGGAUUGUCGCUCCGGCGACCAUCCGGGCGGCGGAGACCAUAUCCGAGGAGCUGGUGCUCGCGCGCAUCCAGUGGGGCAGGGGGGAGGAGCCGGGGAGGCCGGAGCUCGCCGAAGCAGAGCUCGCGGCGGCGGCCGGAGCUCGGGCUCGAUCGGCAGAGGGGCUGGAGGGCACGGGGAGGCCACCCGAGGGGCUCUGCGACACCCUCGUGACACCAGGAGCACGAUGACGCGCUCGGUUGCGGGCUGCGGUGGCCAGGGCGAGGCAGCGACAUGAACGGCGGCGAGGAGCUACGACCAUGGCGGGGAAACGACAGCUACGACGCGGGAACGGAGGAGUGGGGAGAGGGGAACGGAGCAGAAGCUCACAGCGGACUCGAUGGGCUUGUCGGCGAGCUCGGGGACGCACUGAAGACGGCGGGGCGGCGAUGGGGAUCCACGGCGGCCGGAGGCGAAGAUGGCAACGGCGACGACUCCACGGGGCGUCCGGCGACGCGUGGCUUGACAGGGAGGACAAGGACGACGGCGCGGACCUCGGGGACGUCUCAAAUGCUCUCGAGGGGCGCGGUGGCUACGGCUACGGUGAGCGGCGGCGACAGCAGCGCUCAGCUAGCGAGAGAGAGAGCGGCCGAGAGGGAGAGGGAGUGAAAGNNNNNNNNNNNNNNNNNNNNNNNNNNNNNNNNNNNNNNNNNNNNNNNNNNNNNNNNNNNNNNNNNNNNNNNNNNNNNNNNNNNNNNNNNNNNNNNNNNNNNNNNNNNNNNNNNNNNNNNNNNNNNNNNNNNNNNNNNNNNNNNNNNNNNNNNNNNNNNNNNNNNNNNNNNNNNNNNNNNGGGGGGGGGGGAAGCAGGCAGGCGACCAGGAGGUGGCCGGACGCGUGCGUGCACGCCGCGGGCACACGUCCCUGUCCUCCUGGCGCGGUGGAGACGACGACUAGCACUGGCCAGUCGGCUGGGCCGGCCUGUUGGGCCACUGGACCAGGCCAGGCCGCACAGCGCCAGGCCGCAGGUAAGCUCCCUUUUUCCCAUUUUGUUUUCUUUUCUAUUUUUCUGACAUUUGUUUUGAUUUAAUAAUAAUACUAAAUCAUUUUAUUUACUUAUACCAAUUUUUGUAGGAACUAGUGGUAUUAUUCCAAAGCUCCUCAACAAAUGGCAUAAUUUUUGGACAUAUAUUAUAUGUAUAACAAAUAUAUAUCCAAUGCAAAUAAUUAUGCAUUAAUUCCAAAUGCCCAAAAUAAAUACUUAUGAGCUCCUAAAAAUAUUGGUUUGAUUUUUAUCUCUGUCCAAUAUUUUCAGAGAGCAACAUGAACAUUUUCUUGGACCUUUUUGGAGCGAUUUUUAUCUAGGUCAUUUCCAGAUAUGAUUCUGAGGGUUUCACAAAUCCUCAUUUCAAAUUUAAAUGCAAUUUAAACAUGAUGCACACAUGACUAGCUAGCCUCGAGCAUACCAGAACUAGGGAUGUGACAACUCGCCCCCACUUGAAAGAAUCUCAUCCCGAGAUUCAGGGGUCGACGGAAAGAAAGCAGGGUACUGCAGUCGAAGACGAUCUUCUCGCUCCCAAGUAGCUUCUCUCUCGGAAUGAUGAGACCACUGAACCUUGAGAAACUUGAUGUUAUGACGUCGAGUGACACGCUCUGCUUGAUCAAGAAUGCGAACCGGGUACUCUCGGUAGGUGAGGUUAUCUUGGAGAUCAAGCGUUUCGUGGUCCACUCCGCGGAUGGGAUCCGAGAAGCAACGCCUGAGUUGGGAGACGUGGAAGACAUCAUGCACUCUGGAAAGAUGUGGGGGUAGUUCCAACUGGUAGGCAACCUCUCCUCGUUUAGCGAGAAUGCAAAAAGGACCAAUGUAACGAGGAGCCAACUUGCCCUUGAUACCGAAGCGAUGGGUACCCUUCAAAGGAGUAACCCGAAGGUAAGCUUUGUCGCCAACUUCAUAAGUCAUAUCCUUAUGAUGACGAUCAUACUGGCUCUUUUGACGAGACUGGGCUGUUUUCAAAUUCUCAUGAAUGAUGCGAACUUGCUCUUCUGCCUCCUGGAUCAUGUCCGGUCCAAAGAAUUGUCUUUCACCGGUUUCUGACCAGUUCAAAGGUGUUCGACAUCUUCAUCCAUAGAGAAUCUCAAAAGGAGCUUUCUUGAGACUGGAUUGAUAGCUAUUGUUAUAAGCAAACUCGGCAAAAGGAAGACAUUUCUCCUAAUCCAUACCGAAUGAGAUAACGCAAGCUCUAAGCAUGUCUUCGAGAAUUUGGUUGACCCUUUCCACCUGACCACUCGACUGAGGGUGGAAAGCAGUACUGAAGGAAAGAUGGGUUCCCAUGGCAGUUUGGAAACUCUCCCAGAAAUGAGAAGUGAAAAGACUACCACGGUCUGAAUUGAUCUCUAGUGGAACACCAUGAAGUGACACUAUUCGAGAAAUGUAUAAGUCAGCGAGCUGACUAGCAGUGAUACUCUCUCGAACAGGUAGGAAGUGCGCCACUUUGGAGAGACGAUCAAUGACUACGAAGAUAGCAUUAUUCCCUUUCUUGGUCCUGGGAAAGCCGGUGAUGAAGUCCAUACCAACUUUAUCCCAUUUCCACUCAGGAAUGGCUAAAGGCUGAAGAGUGCCAGCAGGUCUUUGAUGCUCUGCCUUAACGCGAUGACAAAUGUCAGAGUUGGCAAUAAACUGAGCAAUUUCUCUCUUCAUCCUAGUCCACCAGAACCUCUGGCGUAGGUCCUGAUACAUCUUAGUACUACCGGGAUGAAUCGUGAGAGGAGAUUCAUGCGCCUCCUUAAGAAUCAAUUGUCGAAGAUGUUGAUCCUUGGGAACCACUAAGCGAUUCUCAAAGAAAACAACACCUCGAUCAUCCAUAGAGGAACAUCCACCAACUCCCUUCUUAAUGUUUCUCUUGAUCCGAGAAAUUCUUCUGUCUUGCUUUUGAGCAGCGACAAUCCGAUCUUCAAGAUCAGGUUUUGCCACCAAGGUAGAAAGGAAUCCGUGAGGAGCAAUGUGAAGGUUAAGCUUACAAAAUUCCUCAUGGAGAAGUGGUUGGCCUUGCUGCAACAUGAGAUUGUUGCAAUAGGAUUUACGGCUUAAGGCAUCAGCCAUGACAUUGGCUUUGCCUGGGGUGUAGGUAAUCCCUAGAUCAUAAUCUGAGAUCAACUCCAACCAACGUCUUUGCCUAAGGUUCAAAUCUGGUUGGGUGAAGAUAUACUUGAGACUCUGGUGAUCAGUGUAGAUCUCGCAACGUUUACCAAGAAGGUAAUGUCGCCAGGUCUUGAGUGCAUAGACUACGGCUGCAAGCUCUAGAUCAUGUGUAGGAUAAUUCUCCUCAUGUGGAUGCAACUAUCGAGAUGCAUAGGCAAUCACAUGAUGAUCCUGCAUAAGAAUGCAACCUAGUCCCUGUCGUGAGGCAUCACAAUAGAUAACAAAGUCUUUAGUGAAAUCCGGUGGCACAAGUAUGGGAGCAGAAGUCAGGCGUCUUUUCAGUUCCUAAAAACUGUACUCACACUGCGGGGACCACUCAAACUUUUUAUCUUUCUUGAGAAGUUCCGUGAGGGGUUUGGCUACUUUGGAGAAGUUUUCAACAAAGCGGCGGCAAUAGCUGGCUAGACCAAGGAAACUCCUAACUUGUUUAACGGUUUCAGGUGGACUCCAAUCGAGAACGGCCUUAACUCUCGGGAUUGACAGCAAUGCCCUUACCAGAGAUUACGUGGCCUAGGUAGGUCACUUCUGGCAACCAAAAUUCGCACUUGGGGAACUUGGCAUAAAGGCGGUGCUCUCUGAGUUUUUCUAACAGAAGUCUAAGAUGUUCGGCAUGCUCUUCCUCGUUCUUCGAGUAAAUAAGGAUAUCAUCGAGGUAAACCACGACGAAUUUAUCUAAGUACUCCAUGAAGAUCGAGUCCAUCAAGCGGGAGAAUGUGGUUGGAGCAUUGGUUAGACCAAAGGACAUGACGGUGUACUCGUACUGGCCAUAGCGAGUGACAAAGGCCGUCUUAGGAAUGUCCCCAUUUCUGAUCUUGAUUUGGUGGUAGCCUAACCUCAAAUCCAUCUUGGAGAAGACUGAGGAUCCAGCGAGCUGAUCAUACAGGUCGUUGAUCCUAGGGAGCGGAUACUUGUUCUUUAUCGUGACCAAAUUAACGGGACGGUAAUCUACAACCAUCCGAUCCGUACCAUCCUUCUUUUUGACAAAGAGGACGGGGCAAGCCCAAGGAGAAGAACUAGGACGGAUGAAACCCUUUUGCAAGGACUAAUCAAGUUGUUUCUUAAGCUCGACUAGUUCUAAAGGUGCCAUUUUGUAAGGUCUCCUAGAAAUUGGAGCAGUUCCUGGGAUAAGAUCUAUGACGAACUCUACAUCUCUGUCAGGUGGAACACCUGGCAGUUCCUCUGGAAAGACAUCCGGAAAGUCACGGACUACCGGGAUAUCUUCAAGGUCUGGAAGAGGGCUAGCAUUCAGAGAAUAGAGCUGACGCUUUGCAACUCUAGUGGAGACAGUGACUAUCUUGCCAGAUGGGUGUGUAAGCUGAACAGACCUAGUGUAACAAUCAAUCUUGGCAUAAUGAGAUUUCAUCCAGUCCAUACCCAAGAUGAUGUUAAUAUCUGUAGACUUGAGGGCUAUAAGUGAUGCAAGGAAUACAAGUCUGUCAACAAGGAUUUCAUUACCAUGGGUGAUUCUGGUGGUCUGCCAUCUAGACCUUGGGGUUUGGAUUUCAAGCGGAGUUGGCAUGUCACAAAAUGACAUGUCGUGCAAACGAGCAUAGCCUUCAGAAAUGAAGGAGUGAGAUGCUCCAGUAUCGAAUAGAACAGAUGCUGGAUGACAGUUGACAAGGAGUGUACCAAGAACGACAUCUGGAUCAUCAUGAGCGUAUUUAGCUGAGACGUGAUGCACGCGUCCAUGUUCAGUGGGGGCUGACUUGACACUGAUCAUCUUGCGUGAUGGCUUACCAUGGCCAACAGACUUCUCGGGCUGGGGUGGGGCAUAACUAGUCUGAGAGCAGUCACGUGCAUAGUGUCCUGGCUUCCCGCAUGUGAAGCAAGUCCCUGAAGUUGGACGUGGACCCGCACAGACAAGCGGUCUACCAAUAGGCCUGGGUGGAACAUACGACUGAGCUGAGAGAGGCACCACAUAAGAUGGCCUCGGUGAAUAUCCGGAAGGAAGAGCGGAGUUUGGAACCCAAAUCCGGCUCUUCUGAGAACUGAAGCCGGAGGAAGAUCCCAAAUCAUGGGUGUGCUGACGGGACUCCUCGUAAGUGAGCUGAGCUGUCUCUGCAUUAAUGGCCUUGUUCACAAGAGCUUGGAAUGUAUCACAAUGAUGUAGGUGGAUAUCACGAUGCAACUUGGGGUUGAGACCCUUCUGGAACCUAGCCUGCUUCUUGGCGUCCGUGGACACCUCUUCUGUGGCAUAGCGGGCGAGGUUCUCAAACUCUCUACUGUAAGCAUCAACAGCAAUAUUACUCUGGGUGAAACUACAGAACUCUUCUCUCUUGCGAUCAAUGAGGGCCUCAGGAAUGUGAUGCUCGCGAAAAGCCUCAAUGAAAUCCCUCCAGGUAGGAAUCUGGCCAGCUGGAAGCAUAGCCUCAUAGUUCUGCCACCAAAGACUAGCAGGACCUUCCAGGUGGUAUGUGGCAUAGGUGACCUUGUCAUCUUCAGCUACGUUCGCGGAACGCAGCUUAUGAGUGAUGCUGCAGAGCCAGUCAUCUGCAUCGAGUGGCUCGAUGGAAUGAUGAAAGGUAGGUGGGUGCAAGCGGAUGAAGUCAUGAAUGGUUACAGACCCCUUGAACUGAUGUGCGGUGUUCUCCUCGAUACAUGCCAACAAGCGAUUAGACUCACGCUUGUUUCUCUCCAUCUCUAACAUGAACUCUGUCAAUGAAGGCGGGUCGGGAGGAUCCUCAUCCCUACCAUCUCCAUGGUUCUGGCUACGAGCAACAGAACUUGAUGUCAUCCUGAGAAACGAAACCAAGGACGGAAUCAGCAUCAGCUAUAGGCUAUAGAAUGUAGGACAAGGAAAUUAGUAACUCUCAAACUCCUAGGGCAAUUCUGGCAGCAUAACGGCAGUAAAAUGCUCAGAAUGAGACAUCCUGCUAAAAAUGGGGUAGAACAAUAACUCAACAUCACCACUCAAGGUUCUGGGAUAGAACUAACAGACUACACCGAAAGUACUCAAAAACUGGGUAUGACUCUGAUCAACCAAACCUAUGGGACUACGGAGUAGUAACACGUGAUCCUGAUAGACGGAAGAGAAGCCUAGUUCCUUAACCCCGUAGGAAAGAUAGGAUGACUCAAAUCAGAAGGCCAUGAGGUAAAGGAGUAAAAAGAGCCUUACAUUCCUUCCCACAAUCAAUUCCCUUAUAUAACUAAAGAAUUUCUAGACUCAACUUCGACCAGUUUGGCUUGGUAAUCCUACAGGCAGUCAGGCUCUGAUACGAAAGCUGUCAGGACCCCGAUUCCAUGCCACACCGAUCUAGCAUGUAACACCUCAUAUCACUUUGCGGCCUCACGCACGGUAUUCCCAUGGGUGUCGCCUUACCAUGCCCGGGACCGUUUGCGCCUUUUGGCACACAUAUAUGCUAGUGUCGCUAGCAUCCAUAUGACAAAGAACCCGGGCUGACAUGGCUAGUCGUGAACCCAAAGUGGCACUAACUUACAGGGACAUGCAUACAUGACCCAGCAUCGAACGUGUCGGUCAUCAGCGAGUGAAUCCGGGCUGUAGCAACUGGGCUAGCAGGACUCCGGUAAACCGGGCUGUAGCAGGCUAACAGGACUCCGGUAGACACCGCGUGACAUUUCCCCGAAGGGACAGACACAGGAUCGAAGAAGGACACAUGCCGGCCAGCCUAAGUGUUCCGGAGCAGUAGCAAGCUACCAGGGCUCAGUGGAAGCACUAGGAGACAUUUCCCGGUAAGAGAGGCUACUAACGAUAAACAACUAGAUAGUCAGACCCCACACAUAGCAAUACACAUUACACGUACGCAUAACAUGCAAGUAUGUGUUGUACAACAUGGCAUCACAGCAUAACUCAACAACGCAUGUAGAUAAAGGCUCAGAAGAGCCAUCAUAGCAUUUAUUACAAACAGGGGUCACAUGACCCAACAUUCAGAGCAAACAAGCAACAAGCGGAAGCAUUACAUGUCUGAGUACAGACAUCUACAAAUGAAAAAGGCUAAAGAGCCCGACUAUCUACAACAUCCGAUCAAGAUCGUAGCUGAGGUACAAGCUACUCAUCGAAGUCCACGAGAACACUAGUAAGACCGAAGUCUCCACUGCAAAAACAUAAAUAAAGCAACAUGAGUACAAAGGUACUCAGCAAGACUUACAUCAGAUCCUAUCAUACAUGCAUUUGUAUCAAGAGGGUGUGGGGUUUAGUUGCAGCAAGCCAGCUUUGACUCAGUGGCUAUCCUGUUCUACGACUACGAGAAACUCUUGAGGUGAGACAACGUACACGAGUCCACUAAUCACCACACAAUACACUACUAUGGAUUCAUCCCCGUCUCCCUACGAGAAGGCCAUCCAUAGCACUCACACUUGUCUUGAGCAUUUUAGAGUAUCCACUUCAAGUUGUCUAUGUACCAUGUAAGCAUCCAAGAGGUCCAUAACCGCGGACCCGACUAUUCGAAUAGAUCAUGUUAACCCUGCAGGGGUGUACUUCUUCACACACGCUCUCGCCACUUACCGCCAUGUACACGUCAUAUAACUCGGCAACCUUCAAGCGGAAGCCUGGCGAGGGUGUCGGCCACGACCUGACUAACCACACAAGACUCCAAUCCAGGUUUAUCGCCUAUUCGGGUUCCAUCCGCAAGGAGAUUCGGCCGGGGUGUCGCUCACGGCCCCAAAUGAUGUGAGCAGGGUUCCCAAGCCCACCAUCCGGGUGCCACUUGGUACACCGUGCCACCUGUGCCUAGUCUGUCCCAAGCCCACCCUGCCGGGUGCCACUCGAUAGAAAAAUAGCACUACCUACAAACACCAGAAACUAGUUGCGACUCCUGGACAGAGAUCAAGUUGAUUAAUAAGUCGAGAGGGCUUGGAGCGCCCGGAGCCCAAUGUGUGGUAGUAUCGAGUCAUUGGACAACAUACAUAGAACUCAGUGCUUAAGGAUGGUUUCAGUGAGACAACCCACCAUGUACUCCUACAUGGCCUCUCACCGCUACCUUUACCAAAUCAUGUUCACACACUUCACUCUCAGCAUCAGAACAUAUCGUAACACUCCAAUUCAUUCCCAAUGAAUCAGACCUGACACAACUCUAAGCAAUAGUAGGCAUAGCUUGGUAGGAACACAACAUAGCUCAAUCAACUCCUACACAUGCUAGUGGGUUUCAACUAUUUACUGUGGCAAUGACAGGUCAUGCAGAGGAAUGGGUUCAACUACCGCAACACAAAGUAGCAGAUGAAUCGUUGUUGUGCUAGUGCAAUAAAUGAGGGCAGGAGCGAGAGAGUAGGAUUGUAUCGGAAUGAACAAGGGGGUUUGCUUGCCUGGGAGAUCAACAAGGAAGGCACUGCUCCUCAGACAGGUACUCUAGAGCACUCUCCGGAGCAGGACCUAUCAAGAAGGAACGGUGUCGGCAAUCAAUACACAAGCAUAUGCAACAAUAUGAUGCAUGAUCAUGGCAUGUAGAUGUGAUGCUGUUUGAGCUAAUGCAACUAGCUGUUAUUUGGAUGGAGUCCAUUUGAACCAAAGAUUCAAAUGCACCUCCAAAAUAAGCCCUUUAUAAAUGCCAUUAACAUGUUUUCACCUAUACAGGAGGUUUAGGUUGGUUUGUCAUGCAUGAAACUAGUACAGAUGGAUAGAUUGCAUUUUUCUGAUAAUUUUUCAUAUAUAAAUUAUUUCAAUCUGAGCUACGGUUAAAUUUCUAUGAUUUUUUGAAGUUUAAAUCAUUUUCUGGAAUUUCCUGAUUUAAUUUAAAUCCAGAAAAUGGAUAACUGCGUCAGCCUGACGUCAGCGUGACGUCAGCAGGUCAACGGCCAGGUCCAGGUCAAACCUGACCAGUGGGACCCAUACGUCAGUGUCAUGGUUAAUUAACAGAGUUAAUUAAUUGUCAAGCUAAUCUUAAACUAAAAAUUAGCAGGGUCGGGCCCCACAUGUGAGUGUCACAGGGGGGGGUAGUUAGCGGGGUUGACCCGGUCAAUCCCGCCGGCGUUUAGCCGCCGGCGAGGCCGAUCGUGGCGGAGGGCUCGGGAUUGUCGCUCCGGCGACCAUCCGGGCGGCGGAGACCAUCUCCGAGGAGCUGGUGCUCGCGCGCAUUCAGUGGGGCAGGGGGAGGAGCCGGGGAGGCCGGAGCUCGCCGGAGCAGAGCUCACGAUGGCGGCCGGAGCUCGGGCUCGAGCGGCAGAGGGGAUGGAGGGCACGCGGAGGCCACCCGAGGGGCUCUGCGGCACCCUCGUGGCACCAGGAGCCCAAUGACGCGCUCGGUUGCGGGCUGCAGUGGCCAGGGCUACAGUGGCGACAUGAACGGUGGCGAGGAGCUACGGCCAUGGCGGGGAAACAACGGCUACGACGCGGGAACAGAGGAGCGGGGAGAGGGGAACGGAGCAGAAGCUCACAACGGACUCGACGGGCUUGUCGGCGAGCUCGGGGACGCGCUGAAGACGGCGGGGCGGCGAUGGGGAUCCACGGCGGCCGGAGGCGAAGAUGGCGACGUCGACGGCUCCACGGGGCGUCCGACGAUGCGUGGCUUGACAGGGAGGACGACGACGACGGCGCGGAGCUCGAGGACGUCUCAGAUGCUCUCGAGGGGCGCGGUGGCUACGGCUACGGCGAGCGGCGGCGACGGUAGCGCUCGGCUAGCGAGAGAGAGAGCGGCAGAGAGGGAGAGGGAGUGAAAGAAGGGGAGGGCUCGAUCCAGACGGCACCCGCGCAUCUAUCCGCGGUGUCGACGUGGCGGGGGGGAGCAGGCAGGCGACCAGGAGGUGGCCGGACGCGUGCGUGCACGCCGCGGGCACACGUCCCUGUCCUCCUGGCGCGGUGAAGACGACGACUAGCACUGGCCAGUCGGCUGGGCCGGCCUGUUGGGCCACUGGACCAGGCCAGGCCGCACAGCGCCAGGCCGCAGGUAAGCUCCCUUUUUCCCAUUUUGUUUUCUUUUCUAUUUUUCUGACAUUUGUUUUGAUUUAAUAAUAAUACUAAAUCAUUUUAUUUACUUAUACCAAUUUUUGUAGGAACUAGUGGUAUUAUUCCAGAGCUCUUCAACAAAUGGCAUAAUUUUUGGACAUAUAUUAUAUGUAUAACAAAUAUAUAUCCAAUGCAAAUAAUUAUGCAUUAAUUCCAAAUGCCCAAAAUAAAUACUUAUGAGCUCCUAAAAAUAUUGGUUUGAUUUUUAUCUCUGUCCAAUAUUUUCAGAGAGCAACACGAACAUUUUCUUGGACCUUUUUGGAGCAAUUUUUAUCUAGGUCAUUUCCAGAGAUGAUUCUGAGGGUUUCACAAAUCCUCAUUUCAAAUUUAAAUAGAAUUUAAACAUGAUGCACACAUGAUUAGCUAGCCUCGAGCAUACCAGAACUAGGGAUGUGACAUGCCGCCUUGCCUUUCCGAGCGUUUUGCCUGCCAUUGUGAGGGUGUGUCUCACUCCUGAAGCACGCCUUACCAUCACUCUGCUCCUUGCUCUUGCACCGCCAACACUCUUCCGUAGAGACGAUGUCAUCCCCAUCAGCCUUUGCCAAGGAUCCCACUGUUGUAGAUAUGUUGCCGUCGUCCUCACAAUAUCUUUCUCCGAUGGGCAAGCCGAGGGCCCACCUGAGCGGUGGAGCAGGCCCUCCGACGCGGCCGAGGAGGUGAAGGAGGCAUUGGGGGCGGCGGGAAAUUAGGAGGUGGAGGAGGAAGAUCCGUCCACCUGGCGUCCUUUGAAGAUGACGAGGCAUUGGGGGCCGUAUAGUUAAAACUUCCAAAUAUGACCUGAUGGCCAGGGGCGUAGCUUUCAAUCUGCUCCAGAUGGCCAAGCGAAUUGGCCCGCAGUGCAAAGCCGCCGAAUACGAAGAUCUGUCCGGGGAGAAAAGUCUCAUCCUGGACCGCAUCGGUGUCCAUGAUCGGAGGAGCCAUCGGGCCUAAAGAUGACGACACAGAGGAACUCUCAAUGAAAGCACCAAUUUCGGUGUCAGAACCAGCGGAUCUCGGGUAGGGGGUCCCGAACUGUGCGUCUAGGCGGAUGGUAACAGGAGACAAGGGACACGAUGUUAUUACCCAGGUUCGGGCCCUCUCGAUGGAGGUAAAACCCUACUCCUGCUUGAUUAAUAUUGAUGAUAUGGGUAGUACAAGAGUAGAUCUACCACGAGAUCAGAGAGGCAAAACCCUAGAAGCUAGCCUAUGGUAUGAUUGUUGUUCGUCCUACGGACUAAAACCCUCCGGUUUAUAUAGGCACCGAAGAGGGUUAGGGUUACACAGAGUCGGUUACAAUGGUAGGAGAUCUACAUAUCCGUAUCGCCAAGCUUGCCUUCCACGCCAAGGAAAGUCCCGUCCGGACACGGGACGAAGUCUUCAAUCUUGUAUCUUCAUAGUCCAGGAGUCCGGCCAAAGGCUAUAGUCAGGCCAUCCGGACACUCCCUAAUCCAGGACUCCCUCAGUAGCCCCUGAACCAGGCUUCAAUGACGACGAGUCCGGCGCGCAUAUUGUCUUCGGCAUUGCAAGGCGGGUUCCUCCUCCGAAUACUUCAUAGAAGAUUUUGAACACAAGGAUAGUGUCCGGCUCUGCAAAAUAAGUUCCACAUACCACCGUAGAGAGAAUAAUAUUUACACAAAUUCAAUCUGCUGAUGUAUUUCGUGGCGUGACAUCACACCACGGCCAAGCCUUUAUUUGAAUCGUUUUACUAUCCCACCUAAGCGCGUUUAGCGAGGCGGUUUCCUUGGCACGUCUUGUCAAAGCAGAGAUCGUGUCCCCUUAUUCCGGGAUUCUCAUUAAUACGGGCACGGGUAACCCAGUCGUGCCCGUUGGCGCGUCUCCUCUAUCGAAGGCGAGUCCUGAACGGUCACGGGGAAGGCUCUUGGUAUUCAACCUCUUUAUAAAGAGACCAAGGCUCCACUCCUUUCUUUCAAUCUCAAUCGAACCCGCCCCCCGCCUCGAGUUCCAACACCCAAAGCUCCAGAUUCAGGCGCUUCGGACCUUCGAUGAUGUCCGGCUCCGACCUGCAAGGCCGGUGGAUGCCUUCCUUCGUUACGGAAGAAGAUGUGCUAAAGCUAAGAGAUGCCAGGUAUCUAACCGGCGAAAUUUCGCAUAGGCUGCCUGCCCAAGGGAAGGUUAUUCCCACUCCCAAGCCUGGUGAGAACGUGGUGUUCGUGUCUCACUUUCUUCGGGGGCUAGGCUUCCCGACGGACCCCUUCGUGAGGGGGCUCAUGUUUUACUAUGGGUUGGAAUUUCAUGACUUGGAUCCGAAGUCCAUCCUCCACAUCUCAUCGUUCAUUGUCGUAUGCGAAACCUUCCUCCGCAUUACCCCUCACUUCGGAUUGUGGCUCAAGACCUUCAAAGUGGAGCCGAAGAUGAUCAAGGGGCAGCAGGCAGAGUGCGGAGGGGCUGUUAUAAGCAAGAAUGCUGAUGCUCCAUGGCCCGAGGGCACUUUUCAAGAGGAGCUCAGCCUAUGGCAACAAGAGUGGUUUUAUAUCACAGCUCCCAGGGGCACCAAAUGGGUGGUGCCACCUGCCUUUUGCUCGGGUCCUCCACCGCGGCUGGCGUCAUGGGUCAAUAAAGGACUUGACUGGGGGCCGUCCAAGGACGUGCCCUUGUUGCAGGGCCGCAUUCAAGACCUCCUAGAGAGAGAGAUCACUCUGGUCGUAGUAGCGUAGGUCAUGCUGAUUCGUCGCACCCUGCCCUACAAACGCCGCCCCCUUCGCCUGUGGGAAUUUAACCCGGAGGGACCACGAGCUCUCCAACAUUUUAUGGGCGCGACGCCCGUGGAGAUGUACAAGCUUUUCUUCGGAUCACAAGCGAUGUGUCCGGACUUGACCGAGGACGCAGGUCUGAACUGCAAUCGCCCGGAUACUCAAGUAAGUAGCCCUGUACCCGGACACGCUAUCCCAUCUUUAUCACGAAAUUGCCCUUUAAAAGAGUUGUCCCUUGAACAGGAGUGGAUAGCGAAAGCAAAGUUAAUCAGGUGUCCGCCCCCCCUCCCUGAGACCACGCCGGAUCCCGUGUUAACCAGGAUGCUGGAGGUUGCGCCUUCGGAAGAAAGUGAAGGGGGGAACAAGGAAGCUACCGCCUCCACGAAGGAGGCUGUCAGGAAAGGAGGGAUUGAGAAUCCCUCCAUCCAAGGGAAGAAGAGGACCGCCUAUGAGAACCCGGAGACCAUGGUCUCAAAGCGGGGGAAGAAAUCUUCGUCAGAGGGUCCUGUGCCGAGAGAUGCCUCGGCCGCAUUGUGCCCCCAAGGGGAUCAGCUCUCCACCGAGCCGUAAGUAAAAAAGGGGAGUUCUUUUCAAAAUAAAGGAUAUCCCUGCCCUAUUUCUGAUGAAGAUAACCGAAAUUUUACCUUGUAGUUCGGAUCUCAGCCCUUCUCAGCAGAGCUCAUCUUCGGGGGAUCUUCGUCCGGAGAUGAUAGAGAGUGAUACGCCUCCCCUUACCGUACCGUCUUCCAAGGCAGGCGACCCUGAGGUGUCGUCGCGGAGGGUUUCUUCGAGUCCGGCGGGGCCGAAAGGCAGUCGUAUGUCCCCUCAAAGCCCUUCGAGUCCGGCCUUCAAAACAGGCCAUCGGACGAGUCCGACACCACCUGGUGUACGGUCGGAGGAGCUGCAGGAUCUGCUCGGGCGAGCGUCUAUCUCAGAAGAUCACCGUGCGUUAUUGGGUACGGUGAUUGAAAGGAUUUCAUCCGCUGAGAGCGGAUUGCACGAAGCCGUCAGAAGUUUCCUGACAGGUUUUGAGGUACGCAAAAUGAAGUACCUACUGACAGUUCCGCAUAUAGGAUGCGCCCUGUGUAGAUAGUAGCCCCUGAGGCUCGGUGUGUUGUCAAAAAUGACAGCGCGCCGAGGAUCAUAAUCCCAGGUAUAAUGUGUCGCCCUUCCUAUGUAGGUGGCGAAGGGUCCGGUGGCUAGCCGGACUAAUGAAUUUGCCGAACUAAAGCGGCAACUUGACGUGGCAGAUGCCGACAUCGCGCUUGUCAAUAAGCGACUUGACGAGUCACAAGGUAUGCAAUUUCUCUGCGGACACCUGGUAAGGGAGCUUGAUGCCCGUGCCUUACAACAUGUAUGCUUGAUGCAGAUGGUGCCGCUGCCAUGGAGAACCUUCGGGCGGAGCUCGCCCGAGCCAAGGAGCAGGCCAGAAAGAGUGAUGCGGCUGCCUUAAAGGCGGCCGAAGAGCUAAAAGCCGAACAGGCUGCUCACUGCCAAAGCGAGAAGGAAAUGGCCGAGAUGGCCGUGAAGUUAAAGAAUGCUGCUGACCACUGCAAGCUUCUUGAAAAAUAAGAUCGAGCGGUGCAAGAGGACCUAAAGAAGGCCACCACCGAGGCCAAGGAUGCUUGCUCUGCGAUGAGAGCUAUGAAGGAGGAGCUGCGUCAGGCCGGAGAUAUCGCGGCUGGAAAGCCUUUUCUGCUGCGGAGGAAAUUUGUGGAUCCUAAAUAUGCUCAGUUGGACCGGCUGUGGAGUGUGGAGGAUGCUUAUCUGGACUUGGCGGCAAGUGCCGCGGACGCGGCCGAACACUUCCGAGAUCAAAAGGAUCACGAAAUGGAAAAGGUUUUUUGGUCGCAGUUCCAUAAUGCAGAGCGCCCACUUCCAUUAACCGAUCGCUUGGCCAAAUGGGCGGAGCUGAAUAGGUUAUCCGGACUUGCCAUGAAGGAUGUCGUGAGUCUUUUGUGGUCGAAAAGGCCCGAGCCGAAGAGUUAUUUUGGCUUGGUGCAGCAGUUCCUUGGUGCGGUGCCGCAUAUCAAUGCAAUGAGGAGGUCGGCAUGCAUAGAGGGUGCACGGAUGGCUCUUGCCCGUGUCAAGACAUACUGGGCAGAGAUGAAGGCCACCAAUGUUGCAUCCCAAGAUUCGGACGGAAGCCGAGUACCUGUCGAGCACUAUUUUCAGGAAGUUCUACAGGGCGCUCGUUUAAUAGAGACGCAAUGCUCGAAGGAUAUUAUGUUCGAAUAACAUGUAUGAUUGUGAAACAAUGUGUCUAUGGAAUAUAAAAGCUUUUUAUACUUGUGCCUUUCAAGAAUUAAAAUAUCUCCUGUGCGGCCGCUCAUGUAUAUGUAUAUAUAACCUGAAAGAUGGCAGUCUUCGGCUUCAGCCCCCACGCAUAUAAUGCGGGGGUGUUUGCAAAAGGCGCAUUUUUACACUUGAUCCAACGUCUUGGUCCUAUAAAGGAGGUGGUAGCGCAGCAAACUAGGCAACCAGACUAUAAUGCUUUAUCACUUUCACUUAGCCAUAGGAGUUUGACAGUGGGGCUACUAUAUAGCCCCUAGGGGCACUGCGCUCACCCGAAUUCGGGGCGCGUAUGUGCCUGACCGGGAAAUGGCCCUUCGUCAAUGCGGAGGAAUCCUAUAGAUUCCGGCGGGUCAUCGAGUGGUUGACCAGUCUCACGCUAUAUCAUGAUAGUCAGUUUUCGGCUUUCUCUACUGAGGUGCUCGCCUGGACGAACCGGGGCACAAUCGCAGUAGUUCUCCUGGUGCCGCCUUAGCCGAUAGAGCGGAACGUAAGGCAGCAAAACACAGGAGCCGGGCAAACCCAACAUUUGACCAAAGACAUGAUUCGUAGAUGAUGCAUAUAAGGCCUAACUCGAGACGCCGAACACUCCCUAAGGUAUUCGGUCUUUAUGAAAACAGGCCGAACAACACCCUUGGUAAUAAGCCCCUGGUGUCCAGGUACGCGCAAAAUUCUGACGUGGCCCAUGCCAAAACGCCAGCCUCCUCCUCAGUUAUGGGAAGAAACCAGGGGAUGUGUAUCAACAAGAGACAGUAAAAAAGGUUUAUGCAGGGUCUUAAUCUGAAAAGAAUCCUUGUCACGGGUCCGUACUGCACGUCUGCGCCUGCGUCUCCGUUGUGCCGUAUCCUGGACGGUUGUAGCACGGUGUUCAUCUGUAAAAGAGAGGAACUUAGUUGAAAAAGAUCAUGCGGAAAUGUAUGUUAUGUUAAAUAAAUAAAGUACGAUUCAAAAAUGAAUAAAAUUGAGCUUUAUUGUCCCUUGUUGUACAUGCGCGGAGCCCCUUGUACAUGGGUAUGCGGCUAGUAAGCCCUUGUAUGUUUACGCCGGGCUCGUCUAGCCGUGUCCAGGGUCUGAAAGACCUGUUUAGGUGCUUUGAUCGGUGAAGCCGGCUUAGAGUGUGGCUGUCAAGGCAGUCACACCAUCUUCCGCGCUCGAGGAACACUCGGUAUUUCCCUUUAAGGAGAUGAUGCCUCGUGGAUCGGGCAUUUCAAGUGUAAGGGAUGCAUAAUGCGGUAUUGCGUUAAAGCGGGCGAAAGCUUCGCGUCCCAGUAGUGCUUGGUAGCUACUUGUGAACGGGGCGGGGUGGAAGGUUAACUUUUCGCGGCGGAAGUUGUCGGGUGAGCCGAACACAACUUCUAGCAGUAGAGGGCCCGUACAAUGGGCAUAUGGGCCUGGCAUUACCCCUUGAAAGGAAGUGUUGCUAUGGCGAAUUUUGGUUGGGUCUAUCCCCAUUUUGCGGAUUGUGUCCUGGUAUAGAAGGUUUAGAUCACUGCCGCCGUCCAUUAGGACUUGUGUGAAUUGGAGUCCGUCAAUUAUCGGAUCUAAUAUCAGGGCAGUCCAUCCUGCAUUCCGGGUACUUCUAGAGUAAUCCUGAUGGUCGAAGGUGAAUGGUUUUAACAACCAGUGGCGGGACUCCUCCGGGAUAGGCCUUAUGGCGCGUACCUCUAUGGGCACCGCUCUAUUUUUCCCUUCUGUCACGUGAAGUGAUUUUACUGUUUUGACUUCUUGUGGGAAAUUCUUUUGUUUUCCGGUGCUCUGCUUGUGGGGUUCGUCAUCGUCCUUGCUUGGUGUGUCGAGCCCCUUGUGUUCGGCGUUGAGUUUAACGGACUGCUUGAAGACCCAACAAUCUCUGUGGGUAUGGUUUGCAGGCUUCUCGGGAGUACUGUGGAUUUGGCAUAUCUUGUCCAAGAUUUUGUUUAGGUUAGAUAGCUCGUCCCUGUUAUCCUUAAGGGGCAGUUUUUUAUGAUUCUGCUGAGAGCUUUUGAAUCCGGCGUUGACUGUCGUGCUCUUCGGGCUGUUUCCCUUGGUCCGGCGCUGGUCCUUGCUACGUCGCGGUUUCCCGUUUCCAUCCCUGACUUCGGAUGUACUUGGGUUGCUGGUACUGCAUCUUGCCAGCCAGCUAUCCUCUCCCGCGCAAAAGCGGGUCAUGAGGCUUGUUAAUGCGGCCAUUGUUCUUGGCUUUUCUUGGCCGAGGUGUCUGGCGAGCCAUUCGUCUCGGACGUUGUGUUUGAAAGCUGCUAAGGCUUCGGCGUUCGGACAAUCGACUAUUUGGUUCGUUUUAGUAAGGAAUCUGUUCCAGAAUUUUCGGGCUGACUCUCCGGGUUGUUGAGUUAUGUGACUUAAAUCGUCUGCAUCCGGAGGUCGGACAUAGGUCCCUUGAAAAUUUGCCCGAAAAGCGUCCUCGAGCUCCUCCCAACUUCCAAUGGUGUUUUCGGGGAGGCUUUUUGAGCCAAUGCCGGGCUGGCCCUUUGAGCUUGAGGGGUAAGUAUUUUAUGGUGUGGAGGUCAUCUCCUCUAGCCAUGUGUAUGUGGAGGAUGUAAUCCUCAAUCCAGACUCCAGGGUCUGUUGUUCCGUCGUAUGCCUCUAUGUUUACGGGCUUGAAUCCCGCUGGAAAUUCAUAAUCCAGAACCUCAUCGGUGAAACAUAGGGGGUGUGCGGCACCCCUAUAUUUAGGUGUAUCGUAAUAUUCGGAUACUUGAUGUGUUGCAUUGCUUACUAGAGCUUGGUUUCUUGGCCCGUAGAUAGAUCUAACUGGGCCAUCUUUUUGAUGCGAAUCCGUGUGCGGAUCGCGUGCCGGCUUGUGUGCGGCGCCAUUUGCCGCUCUAUGUUUGCCAUGGGGUCGUCUAUCCGACUGGGUGGUCUCCUUGUUCUUUGAUUGCGGGGGCUCUACGGCCUCCUCAUCAAAUUCGGGCAGUAGUCUUCGCUUCGGGUAGCUCUUUGUUCGGCGACUAUCGCUGUAUUUGUCUGCGGUGUUGAGUACUUUGCUCCAUCUGAUUCCAAGCGCAUCUUCCGCUGUUUUGAGCUGCCGCUUCUACUUUUUCAGGCUACGCACAGUGGCGACGAGCCUUUUGUGGAGGUUCUUCUGCUUCAGCGACUUGUCCGGUGUAAAAUCGUCUGGACUAUUAUCUUCACCGGGGACGGAUUGUUUAUCCAGGUUGUCCUGUUCGGACGGUUGCUCGAUGGCAUGUUCGUCAUCCACCGGUUCACCCUGCUCUAUGGCUGGGUCUGUAUGGCCGCAGUCUUUGUCGAGGCGGGAUUUUGAGCGGCGCUUACGUCGCCGUUUUGACUGCUUUUCGAGGGAAUGAUCCCUCGUGGCGUCCCAUUGUUCCUCGUCGUCGCUUCCUUUAGGUGUGUCCACCAUGUAUACAUCGUGAGAUGAGGUGGCUGUCCAGUGCCUUAUAGGUGCUGGUUCAUGCUUAUCUCCUACAUCGUCGUCCAUACCGUCGAUGUCUUCGGAGUCGAAAUCGAGCACGUCGUUUAAACUUUCGACAGUGGCUACGAAGUGGGUGGUGGGUGGGCUUUGAAUUUUUUCGUCGUCCGCAUCCCAACCUUGCUGGCCAUAGUCCGGCCAGGGCUCUCCUGAUAAAGAGAGAGACUUUAGUGAAUUCAGGAUGUCGCCAAAGGGCGAGUGCUGAAAGAUGUCUGCGGUGGUGAACUCCAUGAUCGGCGCCCAAUCGGAUUCGAUUGGCAGGGGCGCGGAAGGUUCGGAGUCCGGAGAGGAGUCCGGCACCUUGGAGUCAUGAGCUUCGCGAAGGACAGGGUUGGUGUUCGGCUCAAUCGCCAUAGAGAUAGAAGCCCCCGAGGCGGUGUCCAGCCACCCGUCCUUGAUCGGCGCAGUCGGCUCUGAGCUAAGGGUCGGAGCGGACACUUGUGCGGCCUCCAGGGCACUGUCCGGCGGCAGAGCUAGAUCAUGCCCGUCGUGACAGUGCGGCGCGCUUGGCUGUGGCUCGAACCCGUUGAAGAUCAUGUCUCCGCGGACGUCAGCCGUAUAGUUAAAACUUCCAAAUAUGACCUGAUGGCCAGGGGCGUAGCUUUCAAUCUGCUCCAGAUGGCCAAGCGAAUUGGCCCGCAGUGCAAAGCCGCCGAAUACGAAGAUCUGUCCGGGGAGAAAAGUCUCAUCCUGGACCGCAUCGGUGUCCAUGAUCGGAGGAGCCAUCGGGCCUAAAGAUGACGACACAGAGGAACUCUCAAUGAAAGUACCAAUUUCGGUGUCAGAACCAGCGGAUCUCGGGUAGGGGGUCCCGAACUGUGCGUCUAGGCGGAUGGUAACAGGAGACAAGGGACACGAUGUUUUUACCCAGGUUCAGGCCCUCUCGAUGAAGGUAAAACCCUACUCCUGCUUGAUUAACAUUGAUGAUAUGGGUAGUACAAGAGUAGAUCUACCAUGAGAUCAGAGAGGCUAAACCCUAGAAGCUAGCCUAUGGUAUGAUUGUUGUUCGUCCUACGGACUAAAACCCUCCGGUUUAUAUAGGCACCGAAGAGGGUUAGGGUUACACAGAGUCGGUUACAAUGGUAGGAGAUCUACAUAUCCGUAUCGCCAAGCUUGCCUUCCACGCCAAGGAAAGUCCCGUCCGGACACGGGACGAAGUCUUCAAUCUUGUAUCUUCAUAGUCCAGGAGUCCGUCCAAAGGCUAUAGUCCGGCCAUCCGGACACCCCCUAAUCCAGGACUCCCUCAGACGGCGUCGAAGAUAUUGAAGCUGGUGGUGGCGGGUGUGUUUUCCCUCAAUCUCCAAUGGCGGGUGCCCAAAAGAGAGGCAACCCCCGAACCUUGAGAGGGGGAGGCGGUGGUCUUUGUCCCUUUCUUUGAGAGGGGGUUCUCCCUGCCGAUCCAACCCUUUCUUCGAGGACUGCUCCAUUACUAUGGGCUGGAGCUUCACGACUUAAAUCUGAACGGGAUCAAGUGGCAAGCUUCAUCACCUACAACGAGGGCUUUCUAGGGAUUGAGGCUCAUUUCGCCUAGUGAAAGAGGCUGUAUUUGGUGAAGCCAUACAUGUGUCAGGAUGAUAUCAAGUUGGGGGAGUCGGCAUCUCAGUUUGGGUAAUGCCGGGGUUGAUGCGGCCAAGGUCUCCACCAUCUCCAACAAGGGUGGCACCAUAACUGGUUCUACUACUCCAACCCUAACCCUGCCUUACUGGUCUUCAACGCCCAAUAUGUGGUGUACAAUGAUGUCUGGGCAGCCCGACCUACUCUCAGGGUGCAGGUAGUAGCGAAGUUUUUGGGGAAACGCAUAACCGUGCUCCACGAGGCGCCCUCCUUGGGGAGACUGUGGUGGCGACGUUCAUCAGACAUCGAGUUCAGCCCAUCAAACUAAGGUGCUGCCCUAUGUGAUUGUACACAGGCUUGGGGGAUCCAACCCGGGAGGCGCCGUACGAGCUCAGGGGAAGGAGAUGCACAGACGGGCGGUCAAACCUGUGAAGUCCAAGGUCGUCGACCUGAUGGGUCAGCCUGUCCUCGGGCAUCCCAACCAGCCGGAUGAGGUAAGUGCGCUAUCCUUCGGGCUUCUAACCCUUUUCCCUUUCACGCCUCAUUUGUCCUUUUUGGUGGCUUUGCAGGAGGUGGCCUCCUUUGUCUCCUGACAUCCCCUUCUCGUGGACUAGGCAUGACGUUGGGUGGCUGCCUGCCCAAGCUCCCGCGCCAGCUGCUGGUCUGACCAAUACUUCAAGCGCUAGCGGUUUGGAUGGCAUGGAGCAGGCAUCGAACGGGUCCUCCAAUUCAAGGAAGAGGAAAACGCUCGGGAGCAUCUCCUCUGGGGUCGAUGCAGUAGGUGACACCUCCGGGAAGCAGAAGCUACCAGCAGCCACUGAGGAGGGGGAGAGCUUUCGAGGUGAUCAUUGGGAGUAAGAGGAGGAAAACCGCCCAGACGACUGUCGAGAAGGGAGGGGCCGGCUUGGCCCAUGCGAGGACGUUAAAUUUGGGAAUUCUCCAUGUCAUCGCUGUCCAGGAGGGAGUUGUUGCAGCUCCAAGUUGCCUUGGGGCAACUAUUCAUCCCCUUCUAGGGGUGUUGAUAUCACGCGGGGACUCGAGGUUGGCGCCUAUUGGCUGUGCGUCAAGUACUCCCACUCCUGCUUCAGUGAAGGUUGUGUCUCGGGAUUUGGACCCCGAGCCGAGGAUUGUGGAGGCAGAGCUGCGAGAGCAGGUUGAAGAGCGGUCGCCCGGCUCCCUGGCCUGCUGGAAGUUAUGAUGAGGAAUCUUCAUGUGGUGGGAGCUUGCAUAUCCUCCUUUUGUUCGAUGUGAGUUCUCCUUCCAGCAACCUUUCUCAAUGCCCCCCUCCAGCCUGUGCUUUGUUGGAAUAAUCUAGUUCUGGGUCCCAUGGCAGUGUUUCUGGUUUGGCUGUCAUGGCAGCCGAUUUCGCUAUGAUGACAAUGUUUUUAGUUUGUUAGCGUUUUGGCACAUUUCUGUUUAGAGUCAACGCCACGAGACCCGUUUUUGCAUGAUCCGCGGCUAGUUUGUAGGGCGUCGUGGGCAUGUGCUUGGUCGCGGGAUGGCAUGAUCCGAUCGGAGUGCGUGGGCCGCGGCAUGACUUGUGUUUGUUGAGAAAUAAAAGGAGAAACAGAAAAACAACAAUGCUUACGCUGCGCAAAUUUCUCUCUCUCUCUCAUGAGCUGAAUUUCAUCUUAGAGAGGCAACAAGUGGCAUCAGAGCCAUGUCGGGUACUUCGGCCGCUGGCGAUCGGUCACGUAUGCCCCUGCGCCUCCAUGUGGCGUCACAGGAGCAGAGCCAGAGUAGAACCUGCGGCGGCGGCGGUGGUGAAGUGUUGGUGCAGCAGGUGACCUCUGGCGGCACCCUCCCGAUGCUGACACACACCAACUAUGCAGAGUGGGCGCUGCUAAUGAAGGUUUACCUUCAAGCCCAUGGCUGGUGGGAGGCCGUGUCCAUUGGGAAUGCCUCCUACCACGACGAGCACAAUGCCAUGAUCACCAUCCCGCGAGACGUGCUGAACAUCGUUGACGAGGAGGAGAACGCCAAGGCUGUGUGGGAUGCCAUCGCCAUGCAACGCAUGGGUGCUAGCUGGGUGCGCGAGGCAAACACACAUAAGCCGCGGCAUGACUUCGGGGGCAUCUCCUUUCGUGACGGCAAGACCAUCGCCGACUUCUCGAUGCGGCUCUCUAGGAACGUCACCAACCUGCGCAUGCUCGGCGACACGCUGGAGGAGCCCAAGGUAGUAGCCAAGUUCCUUCGUGUUGUGCCAUCCCAAUCCGUGCAGGUCGCCAUUGCCAUUGAGGUACUACUCGACGUGAGCACGUUGCCUCUGGACGAAGUCACCCGGCAGCUUCGCGUGGUCGAAGACCGUCUCAAUGACACUCACGACAACAACGACGGUUAGGGUGACCGCCUGCUUCUCACGAAGAAGUGGGAGGCCUGGAAGUAGCAACCCCGAGGCAACAACAACUCUUCCUCUGGCGGGCGGAACAACCGCCUGAGGGGCAGUGCUCGUGGGGCGGUGCCCGUGGAGGUGGAUGCGAGAAUGGCCAUGACCACAAGAGCAGCAGCGAUAAAGACAAAUGCCGCUACUGUGGCAUAAAGGGCCUUUGGGCCCGUGAAUGCAGGAAAAAGAAGAGGGAGGAGGCACUCCUUGCUCGAGCCGACAAGGAGGCUGAUCCGGACUUGCUGCUGGCCGAGGUCGUGGAGAUCUCUGCCACGGCCGCGAAUUUCGCUGCCAUGGUAGCGGUUUCGCACCCUCCCAUAGCUGCAGUGGAAAAUCCUGCCAUGUCAGCGAAUUGGUUGCCACGACAACGAUUCCAAUCUCGCCAUGGCAGCGGAUAUGAGCCCCACAAGUGGACGUGCCCCGUGAUCUUUCUCAACGAAGAGAAGGCAAAUGUCGUCCCCGCCGGCGACGACGAGCCUCGGGACACGGUGUGCUACCUUGACACCGGUGUGUCAAAUCGCAUGACCGGUGAUCUCGCAGCCUUCACCGAGCUUGACAUAUGGAUCGUUGGAACCGUGCGUUUCGGUGAUAGAUCCGAGGUGUGCAUCGGUGAUAGAUCCGAGGUGUGCAUCGAGGGGCGUGGCACCAUUGCCUUCUCCAUCGAUGGUGCCACUGAAAGGUCUAUGCACGAGUAGUGGGGCUUAUGGGAGCCAAUCAAGCAGUCAUACUAUGGGAAUUACAGGUCAGCAAUGAGAAUAGCAUAGUAGACGAUGCUGCGCACCACUCUGCUGGUGCAGUGCCAGGCUAUGUAGUCACAAUCACAACAAUGUGCCCGUUGACUGCUUCGUGUGGCAAAUGCCAUCGAAUCACAUCUCGAUCACUGCCUAACCUUACGUUGUUACUCCUUGGCUGCUGCCUUGUUGUCGCUUAGCCACACUGGUCGCACACGUUGACACUGUGACCUUUGCCAUAUGUGGGUGCCUUGCCUAGUUUGUGCCACCAUUUUAUGGAGUCUUGAGUCCUGAGCGGUUCAUGCACUCUGCUGCCAUAUCACAUGUGCGUCUGUUGUUUCCCAACUCAUCAAUGUGGCUGUCAUGCAAUUGUGCUGUUUGGUCCUUGUUGCGAGCUCUAUUGCAGCAUCUUUGGGGCCAUUGUCCAUGCAUGCUUGGGCUGGAGAUUACCCCCCUGUAAAAUGAGAAAAUCUAAAAUUUAAGUCAGUCAGAACCUUCUUGGCCUCGGCUAGUUGGCAUUUUGAACCAGGUUUUACGAAUGCUGCUUCAUAAUUAUAAAAGGUAUUCUAAAUGUGCAAUUUCCGACCAAGUUUUACAAAUGCAAUGUCAUGACUAGAAUACUUAUGCAAGUAAUGGAAUCAUUGGCAUAUUCAGUACAAGCCAUUUAAAAGUAACUCUUAGCAUUUCGGGUUGGACAAAUGGCACAAAACCAAUUGCCCCGCAUUACACUAUAAAAUUGUGUAAUAGCUGUAUAUGUGGCAUUUACAUUUACUUUUCAUUGCUUAGACCUUCUACCUGUAGCUAUGUAGUAAUGCCAGAAUUAAGUUGUUUCUAUGACAUAAGUUCCUCUUUGUGCUGCAAUCUAAUGCCAGGCAAAUCCUUUUAUCGUCGUUUUUCUUUCUGGGCUCAUUCGGCUUGGAGGAAAUUUUGGAGGAUUCCUAUGGGAUUUUCUUCAUAUGUUUAGCAUUCGUUUCAUAGCAAUAGACGUACUUGAUUCCUUAGGAUUGUGUCCGUCCAUAUGGACCUGAUUCCUUAGGAUUCUUAGUAUUUGGUAAGACCUCAUUGAAAAUUCCUAAGGAUUAGAGAGCACGAUAAUCCUGACGAGUAGGAUCCAGAGGAACUCAGGCAGAAGUACUGCGUCCUUGAUUGGGUCGCACAUGUCAACUGGUUUUUCAGAGACCUAAAAGGGCGAAGCCCUGGGUAGGGCAUCUUAUUCCUUUACCUUUUCUAUUCCUCUGAUUUGAAAAUCUUGUAAAACUGAAUUAGCCCUUCAUCUGUAAACAGAUUAUUUCCAUUUCUUAAGCAAAAGACACUUCUGCAUAUUCUCAAAAGUAAGUACUGUUUGUUCGAUUUUUGAGUUCCAGCUACGUGGUACUCCCUCCGUAACUUAAUACAAGACAUUUUUUGACACCGUGACAGUGAAAAAACGUCUUAUAUUAAGUUACAGAGGGAGUAUCUUUCUGUUAUAGGAAUCAAGUAAGAUAAUAGGCUUCACAAAUGAUUUACAUGUAGUGUGCUUCAUUCCUCGUAAGAACACUUAAUUUCAGUGUUGUUCUAUAUAUUUGAAACUGCCUUUUUGUCAGCACUUUUGGUUUGUUCUGAAUGAUCUUGGCAUGUGGUUCCUGGUUGAUGUUUUUAUUUAUGGUUUCUAUUUAUACAUGCAACCAGUGGUUUCAUAGGUAUUUAUGAUGUUCCCCACUUCAUCAAGACAUUAAAAUAUGAUGUCCGUAUUGCUAUGAGCGUCCCAGAUAUCAUUACAAACGGAAAAGCUAAGAAGCUGAAAGCCUACCAGGUGAAAGAAAGCUCACUAGUUUCAGUUAUACGAGUGAAUAACUCCAGAGACUAAUAUGUAUUGCUAACAGAUCCGGCCACCUCUAGAUGCACCGGUAACUUGGUAUACGACAGUUGCUUUAGAGAAGAUGAAGAGUUAUGGGGCUAUCUAUUUAACUCCAUUUUCACAUCGCUUGGCAGAAGAUAUAAAUGAUCCAGAGAUCCAGACAUUUCGAUGCCAGGUGAAUUAUCAUGCAUUACGAUUCAAGCCAAACAUCAUGAAAACAAGCAGUGAGAUAGUGAAUAAACUCCGCUCAGAAGGCCAUUUCAUGUCGAUUCAUCUUCGGUUUGAGAUGGAUAUGCUUGCUUUUGCUGGGUAGAACAUUGACUAACCACACUGUGUGAUUACACAAUUCAGUCAUUCACAUUUAUAAUAGUCAGUUUGUUAUUCACUUGUCAUCAUAUAUGCUUUGCUAUGCAUCCAGAAAUGGAGAAGCACAUCCAUGUAUUCUUUAUUGCAGUUCAUUCUAGGCUACAGAAAAGCUAACAAGAGCAUUGUAGAGCCUUAGACAUCAUAACAUUACUCAAGUUUUCAUCAAAUUUUUGAAAUGACGUCAUUAACCAAACUAGCAAAGUGCCUGUGGCUUGCACUGGACUCAUAAUAAAUAAUGUGCUCGCAAAUCUGAAAAACAGUUAAAUAGUUUAUACCAUCUAACUUAGGCUUCAUCCUGAUUUGGGUUGUAUAACAAUCCUCUCAAGAUAAAAUAAAAACACAGCACUUCGAUUGUGGGUUAGUUUAAUAAAUACCGUUUGAUUUCUUUGUUAUACCAUUUGUGUAUGGAUUAGAUGGUAAGAAGCUAGAACCCUCUUGAUAAGGUGGCGAGUUUGACUCCGCUGCUGCCUCAAUAGUUUAUUUCUGCCUUUUUGGCAAAAAGAUCCCACAUGUGAGAGUAGAGAAGGGUGGGUGAAUCUGCCACCAACUCAAAACCUUUAGAAGUAAGAUAGGAAAUGAUAAACUCACAUCAUUGAUCUUCUGUAUCAUGGUCAUUUGUGCUCUCUUGUACUAGAACUUUGGGAUACAUUUAUAUUGCAUUUUUGUAGUUCUAAAGAUGAUCAACUUGUUUUUUACUAGAGACAAGCUAUGCUACACAGGGAUGUGGUUACCGGGAGAAAAAACCGGUUACCGCAAAUCUCGGUAUCCCAUGAGAAAUCGCCAUACCGGGUGAAAAAUCCCGAAUUUCAAAAUCAAUAAUUUUUGACUGAAUUUUGUUUGGAUCCAAAAUUCAUUAAAAAAGCCUCCGGUAACGGCCUGUAUUUUCUGGUUACCGCAGUAACCGGAAAUCUCGGUGCCCCAUGAGAUUCUUUAGCAUUUGGAGUCCAAAACCUUGAUGCUACAUCGCUGAUAACAAAGAUUUAAUAAAUGCAGUGGUUAUUUUGCAUAUCUUCAUUUUACAUUGCUGGCCAUGGAUUAUUUUCUACAUGAAAAAUGCAGGUGCAUUGAUAUAUUUACACCUCAGGAACAGAAAAUUCUGAUCAAGUACCGCAAGGAAAAUUUUGCAGAAAAAGAACUUGUCUAUAGGGAAAGACGACUCAUUGGGAAGUGCCCUUUAACUCCAGAAGAGGUAAUGAGUCUUUUUAGAUACAUUGCUCUGGAUAUUUCUGUAGUGGUACUCAAAUAUUCAACUAUGUUCUGAAAUUAGGAGUUACUCCCUCCAUUCCAAAAUUAGUGUUGUGCUUUUAGUUCAAAUUUGAACUAAAACCGCGACACUUAUUUUGGACCGGAGGGAGUACUUGUAAAAUGGAAUACCAAAUUGAAGGCCAACUGAGUAAAUUUUAUCCUUCAUGGCAUAACAAUUGUUCUAGACCAGAAGUCUAUCCAGAACUAUGAGUAAAUUUAGUAAUUUCGAUACUACCCGACUAGUAUAUCCAAAGCUACAACCAAAUAUUAUUGCUAUUUAGUGCACAUACCUUACCUGCCAGAGUGCCACUUUCUGGCUACAACCAAAUAUUGCAGUUUGUUUACUUUGCUAAUUAUUAUUUUGAACGUUGAAUGUUCCUUUUUAAAAGUCCACUUCAGCUUUCAGCCCUCAACUACAUUCUGAGUUGGAAACUUGAACUGUAUAAAUUGUCCUCUGUACAACCUUAGGUGGUUUUAUGAUUAGUUUUUGUUUUGUUUUGAAAAGGUGUAUUACUUAGGAAGAAAUAAUUUUGUAUACAAUCGUACAACACCGCCGUGGACACGCAGGUUGGGACAGAGCCUUGCAGAACACCCCCACACCACACACUACACCCAUAUUGAGCAAGCUCAUGGGCAGUCCUGUUAUAGACAGGAGGAAUUGUUGGAAUUGUGUCGAAUACUUGUACAAGGCAGGUUACAGUUAGACUUGGAUUCAAGCUCUGCGUAGAUAGGGUACAAAGACAUGUUCGAGUAGGACACUUGUAUCCUAGGCCUCUUAUAUAGUGUCGGGGUAGACACAUAUAUAAUCCAUGCCAACAUAAUAGCACAGGCAUGCAGGGGGAGCCGGCGGCAUUUGACGGCGCCCGGGUGGCCGGUGAGUGGUCUUGUAGCAGUGGGAGGAGUGCUCAUAGUCAGGCCCUAGGGAUGUAGCCGAUGUUCGGUGAGCCUCAUUAAAAAAUCGGUCGUGCCUCGUGAGAUUGCUUGGUCCUCCAUAGAUCGACUACACGCCUUUGAUUAUUCUAACAAGUGGUAUCACGGAUUGUUGAUCCAGAGGAAGAGUGCCAAUUUCGUAUGAUUCACGUGGCAGCAGGAGUGAAGAUCAGAUCGGGUUCAGAGGCGAUGAGUUUGAGACUGCACGCGAUGUGGCUAUCAAGGUAUGGGCACGAUGAAGCAAUUGGAAUGCGAAGACGUGCAGCAGCAGAGGCCCUCAUCGUGGGUGAUCUCGGCGAGAUUGAUUCGAUUGGCAAAACUUAGUGGUGGCUGCGGACGAUUUUACGUGGCAUGUGGUAGGGGCACGUGCACGUGCGCAUGCAACUACUGGAGGCUCGAGUGAGGCGGGUUGGCCUCAAGAGGGGCUGGCUAGUGCGCUGUGGGAUGGCGGAAGCAGCUGUUGACGGAAACCUAGGUAGAGAGCUGCUAUGAAGGUCAAAACCUAGGUGGGGAGUGGUGCUGCCACGGCAAGCUGCCCAGUAUGAGAUUUGGUUAAGAAAUAAAAAUCGAUUCUGGAAGGUGUUGCAGCGCGUUGGAACAUGGGAUUCGCUGACUGCUAGCAUGGUUAUCUCGAGAGUGGAAAAAAAGAGAACAAGAAAAUUAGUCAGGAAGUCACGGGGUGCUACAGGUGUGGAGCUGAUAUAGUAAUGGAAUUGCUUGGACUACUUCUGUUUUUUGCUUCGUACGCCAAGGAGAUGGCGGCAUGGCAGCAGUGGUGUUGUUCGGCUAGCAGUCAAAUGGGAACCGAGGAUGGCGAAUCAUCUAACAUAUAAAGGCUCCUAGGGUACCUGCCAUUCUAGCGCCCUUCAUGUCUCAGAUUCAUCCUGCCCGCUCGGUUUGUCUAGCUGGCUGUUUUUCAUCGCGCUGGUAAAAAUCCGAACGCUCAUUAUUUUGCACGCUCGUUAUUCUGCCUAGAGCAGCUGACGCAUGGGCCAACUUUCCGUGCGGGCCAGCCUCGCAGCGACACAGCAGGGGUGAAGCAGGGAUGAAUCGAUCGUGGGCUGGGGCGAAUAGAUCAUGGGUACAGGCGGGUGGGUGGAUCGGCGCUCGUCUACCCUCACCCUCCUUCCAUGCACCCAGCCAGGUCUCUUCCGCUUCAGAAGUGUUGGGCCCACUUGUUAGCCUCUUUGGGUAGGUGUGGAGCCAGGUGAAAGGUUGCGGGGUGGCUCGGUCCGCGAUUGGUGGUGUGGACGCCGGGUGGGACGCGAGUAGUAAAACCUAGCCCAAUCCACUCACUUCCUCGAGCCCCACGCAACUCCACUUUCUCUUAAUUUCUCUCCUUCUCCUCCUCCUCGAUUUCCAGCGCGUGGCCGCCGCCGCUCAUCCUUCUCCUCUUCUCUCCCGUGCCACCAGGUCGCUGCUCCUCCACAACACUGGCCGCUCCACCUCGCCUUCCUUCUCUUUGUUGUCCGAUGGCCAUCGGCGGCGCCUGGAUCUGGAUCGGGUGCAGGUUAGGUGAGGCCAUUGGUUGCGUGAAUCCGGGCGGAUCCGGUCACUAGGCGGCGUGAGGCUGCGGAUCCGACGAGGUCACGGCGGCGGCCGGUGGCUUUUUGUUGUGCUCUGCGAGAGACAACGGGAGGAGAAGGAACAAAGAGGAGGGAGGGAUGCGGCAGGGCGACAGUUGCUUUGGUCAUUGUUGUUAGCUGUGGGGAGGCAUGCUGAACCUGCCGGCUCGACCAGGAGCUGCAGGUGCAGAGGCGCGUGCGAGGAGCGUCGUCGGUCGCCCGUCCUUCUUUCUUCGUCAGGAAGGGCGCAGCCUGCUACUCAAGCCCCUCUCCUCCUCUCCUUGCAGAGGAACGACCUUCUCCUUCCCCAUUUAUCUUGCACUGCUGUGCUCUUGCCAAAGCAGCUCCUAACCAAGCAUUCGCUACUCCUCAACUCUCAGCAGGAAAGGCACGGGCGCCACCACACUGGAGAGAUGGACGAGGACAUGAAGCUUUCGUGGAGACGACAAUGUGGACGCCGCUGCACCCCCACGCCAUGGACACGAAGAUUCCCAUCCUCUCUGCCCUCGAUAACCACUUCAGCGGUGCCAUGAACGGCAGCAACCGCCUCUUCUCGGCACACGCAGACCACAUGGCCGUCUUCCUCUCUGGCCUCUUCCACACCAACAGGUUCAGACCCUAUCCCUCUCCCUCUGCAUCUUUGUUUAAAUAUGGUAAGCAUUUCUUCAGAGUAUAACUCUGUUGACUUAGGUUCCUUCUGUAUUGGCCUGUGCAAAAUAGGGUGAAUGAAAUCAGAGUAUUGACCUGUAUUGCAUUUGUAGCUCAGGUCAACUAGGAGAUGAUGCAAGCCAAGGCGUUCACACUGAUUUAAUAUGGUACGUGCUGAACUUCCUUUGGUUUAUGAGACGAAAAGGAUGUUAUAUAUGCAUGCUACUACAGUUUAGGCAUUGAUGUUAUUUGAGCAUCUUUGGUCCUGAUGCCAUAUUUAUUGCAGUUACGAAAUUAUUAACAUUGUUUUUCAUUUUUUAUUUGUUGAUCUAAUUUAUUGAGACCAAAAUGAGAAACCAUCAUUUUAUUUUCAUUUCACGUUUGGAUGAUCAAGUGAAGACAAAUGAAUACACUGAUGGAAGGCCAUGUCAAAGAACUUUCUAUUUUGUAUUUUGUUUUUAUUCAGGAUCUACUAUAAUUUACCAGCAAGUGUUUAUUCCUGAAAUUGAUCGUAUGUGAUAUCUGAAAUGAAACAACACAAGGCCUUGUCUCUCUUUGUAUUUUGAGGUAAUGUCGACGAACCUCAUGUGAAAAAAAUAUAAUAAAAGGCAUUUCUCAGUUUUCUACAUGUGCCAUAGUACCGAGGUCUUUGAACAGGCACUUUGUGGUGGAAUGUCAAACAGAGGGCUGUUUGAUAGAAUAUGUGUUGUGUCAGAUACUGCAACAGGCAUACACAAAAUCACUUUGCUAUAUAUUUACAUAUACUACCUUUUUCUGGAUAUACUAUAACUAUUUGUUCUCUUUUGUAGUUUGCUCUAUGUUUGGUCAUAUUGUUCCUGGCGGUCCUGGAAGUAUCUUCAAGUUUUAAUAGAGGCAAUCCAUGGUCCUGAGAUCGACAAAGUUUGUGGUAAUGUUUCUUUUAGCUAUUACACUUGAGAAAAAUGUUUGGUGUUUUCAUGGAUCAUGACAAAACUGGUGUGCGCACAGGCAUCCUUCUUCCUUAUGUAUUGCGUCUAAUUGCCUCUGGUCAUAAAUAGCAAGACACUGAUGGAGGAGCCAUCCAGCUCAUGCUGCGAUUGUUCCAGCUUUCCGUACUAAGAAAUCACUGACUGCCAGGAAACGGAAGUGGACUGUGUGCCAGAGGUAUGAUCUAGCAAUUUCUCAUGUGGUUUCCUCUUUGCAGUGUGCUACUUCUUGUUUUCCGAUGUUGUGCACGUUCCAGUUUAGAGCUCAUGUACAUCCACUCUUUAUUUCUUAAUUAAGUUAGUGAUGCACACUCUACAAAUGAGAUCCUCUUCUGUUAUGAAGAAUUGUUAUGGGUCUCCGCUUCUUCAAGAGGCUAAUUGUUUUGAUAUAUCCAUAUGUAAUUACAUUUUGGAUUGUCAAAGUGCAAUGUGUAAAGUAUAGAAGGACCAUCUACAAACAUUAAAAAAUUGCAAUGUUUUGAUCUUGAGAAGAGCAUGCCAGCACUUGCUUGUUUCCCUUCCUGUCCAGGUUGGUUGACGUCUGGCCAGCAAGGUUAGGUGUGGUAUAACUGUUGUGCUUGAUUACUUCUUGCUGCAUGUUCCAUUAGCUUGUGAAAAAAGUGUCCUUGUUUGCUUAUGUUUGUGCUGGUGAUUUUGCUUCUGUUUGCUGCUUGGGAAAACAUGUGUGUCCCCUGUUUUUCAUCCACUGCAACAUGUGCGUGUAAUAAGUACCAGCUGCAGCUCAUUAUGAAUAUAGUGCCUGCAGCCGUGCUUCAUAAGCGGAUUAGGUGGCGGUUACUGUCUAUUUACAGAGGACGGUUUGGUGGGUAGAGGUUUAGGAAGGCCUACUGGAACUAAUUAUUUCUUAUCGCUUACCCCUUGUUCUAGAUGGAAGUUGUUAUUUGAAUGUGCCAUGUGUGGUUAAACUGAGCUGACUCCGAAUGUGCUUCAUGCAAUUAAAUUGAUCAGAGCAGUUUAUCUUUGCUUGUCAACUCUAUAUUAGUUGACAGACGAUCGCCGAGGCUCUCUGUCGCAGCUGUGUGCCUGAUCAACGAGCCAAAUAUUUCGGUGAGCUCCUCAUCUACUUUGUCGCCUAUUGUAGGAUUUCAGCAUUCUCAAUCUUUGCUUGCCCUGUUGGGCUUCCACAUAUGCUAACUAAGUAUGAGAAUACAAAAUGUAGCGAUCCUUUCGUACAUUUUCAUUUUUCUUUCUGAAAGGUAUUUUUGAGGGAAAGUGUUUGAACGUUUUAUCUCUACUCUAUUUUGUAUCCUUAUUUUUCUUUGUUUUUACCCCGAGUUAAUUGUGCAUUGAUCUUCAGUUUAUUUCUCAAUUUUUCCAUGAGCUACCCUAAAAAAAAACCUGGAUGCCAACGGUGGCUUUUCUUCAUUUGAAUUUGAAUCCAUUGAUAGAUGCUCCAAUUUAAAUAAGAAAGAAUAACAUGAUAGUUGAGAAGUGGCUACUAGCAUGAUGGUUGCUUUGCUGUUUUGCGGGUGUGGGCUGAGGUUGGGAUAUCCUUACCGAUCUUGUUGUCAUUCUUAUUCUUACUGCUCAGUUUAUAAACAUCAUGGUUCCCGUGUGUAUAUGUUGCAGAUGGGGUUUGUGUCUACUGUGGUUGGGAUGUAACAGAUUGACUAGGUUUUUCCGAGUUGCUGAUUAGGGUUAGCCAAUCUACUGCAUAAGAAUUUGUUGGGCUCUUCUAUUCACUUGGUUGCUUCUCCUACAGAGUCUGCUUGCUCUCGUGUCUGAAGAGAAGAUAUCAGUGAUGGUGGACCUGCUGAUGGUGGACCAAUGCGGUGAGACGUACCUGUUCCAUAUAACCAUGUGAAAGUAGUAAAUCCUUUCACCUUGAUGAGGCACUGUAAUCAACGGCCUAGCGCAAGCAUGCCAUAGCUCCUUGUAUAAUGUGUCGCUAGAAAUCCCUGCACAAAAGAUUCAUUAUGUGAACUAGGCAUAAAAUUCAAGGGCCUUUCACCUUAAUAUAUAAUGGCAGAUUCUAACAGUUGGUCAUGAGUUAAUUUAAAUAGUAUUACUAUCUAAACUGGGACUUCAUGCAGGGAUGAGGGAUCCACCACUUGCCUGACGUCGUAGCACCAAUUUACAAUAUAACCAUAAGGUUUUAUUUCUCGAAAUAUAAGAGCCGCAUGACUGCACCACCCUGUUUCAUUUCAUCAAUGAAACAAGAGUUUUACAGCAGGUAAGUGGCCAGGAUGAUCAUAACCAUGAGAAGUUGAAGAUAAAACACACUGAUCAUUCAACACCAAAUUUGAGAAUUUGAGGUGAGGUCACUAAAUUGAGCAUUUGUUUCCCCAAUGGACAGGUCAGAAUUCACCAAUAUCCCAAAGGAAAGGAAACGAUAAUGUAUCAGCCAAACUAUCCAAAUUAGAAAUUCUCUCUUUUUGUUCAUCAACCUAGACAACAAUAUUACUAAAACUUACUUUUUUGCUAGAAAACAAUGUCGGGCACCUCGAAUUAUAUCCAAGUCCUCGUCUCUACUUCCUUAGCAUCCACCCAGGAACUCAUUACUCUCUAGAGAAGCUCAAUUCAGGCAGAAUAAGCCGAGGAAACGCACGACAACCCCAAACAAAGCGAAGCAAAGAACCGAACCUGUGGCACCUGAGGCGCCGGAAUUCGCCAUCUUCGCCGCCCAAUCCAACGACACCCGACCAGAAUUGAGGAGCGUGAGCCAAUAUGCUCCCCCCAUGCGCACCUCCACGAGUCUUGCCCCACUCCGCGGCCAUGGCAAUGGCCAGCGCGGGGCUCGCGUGAGACUACAGCGGCGAGCACGAGGCCAUGGAGGGGAUCGAGCAGCGCGUCACGGCGGUGCAGGUGGCUCACAGGUCGACCGUGGGCAGUGAGUGUCGCAAAGCUGGUUGCGGCAGUGCGCCGCCAGGCAGAGCUCGCACCGCGACGGCGGCUCGUGUGGGUGCAUAGUAGCUGUGAGCGGAGACCUGCGGUGUGGCUGCCGCAUGCCAGAGUGGGGCGCAGUGCAGGGACACACACCAGCAAUCCUCCACGACGUGCCGAGCUGCGAUUUCUCCUCCUGCCACCUGUGUAGCUUUGGACGGCGAGCUGGGGACGUUUCUGUGUAUAGGAGAGAGGCAGAGAGCGUGACGUGUCGGGAUAACCUUAUCUCUUUGGCCAUUUUACAUUUUAGCACUUAUAGUUUCCCUUAUUCAUUGCAUGUAUGGCCAACUAACGUUAGUUUUCAGUCACACUUCCAAAUAUCUAUUUCCUUGUGCUCUAAUCGGUGUCUAAAUAUUCUUACGUGUAUGGUUUGAAUGCUUGGUUUACUCUCACUCUUUGCCCAUCAUGGUUCCUGAAGUUGCUCGUGGAGGAGGACGACCAUGGCAGCGUCGCAAUGGCGGCUAACGGAGCAGAGGAAGGCGGCCUCAGUCCAAAAGUUUGAUGCAUGCUCGGUGUCUAGGAAUCGCAUCAGAACGAUGGUCAGAGCUGAACAUAGUUGGUGAAACUAGCUAGGAUCAAGAACUCACUAGAAAAAUGAGGCGAUUCACGGCGGCGUCCAGCAGGCCUGCAUGUUGAACCCUGGGACGUGGAUAUCGAGUCGGACCAAGGGCUGGUGGGUCCCACCCGUUCCUACGAGUGGAGUUGCAGCGGGGAUACACAAGCUCGUUGGAUCCACUCGCUGCCGCUUCAUAUUCAGCUCUUCAUGGGCCGCGACUGCCGCUAUUCGUGGGCCGGGCUAAAUAACAUAUAGACCAUUGAACUACUUAUCUCCAUAUACGCAGAACAGAAAGGUGUUUCUUUCUUUUUUUCCCUUUUGUUACUCACAAGAAAAAGUGUUUCUUUUCCUUUACGUAAAAAAAACAAACAUUUGCAAGGCACGGUUCUGCUUUUCCAUUUGCUAUUACAUUUACUUCAAUUCCUCUUACGGAAACCAGUAUUCAUUUAUUCAAAGAGCAUCGUUAUUUUAUAUUUGUGAGAUAACUAAAAAGGUUAUUUAACUUUCUGCGAGACAUUGGCAAUCCUACAUGACUUAGUGCAUCAUUUCCAACCUAAUGUACUUACUACAUAUAAUAUAUGAGCUAUUCUUUUCGAACAACAAUAUGUUAACACACACUCUUACACCGAUUGGCUUACACUCGGUCUUUGCGCCAUUGGCGCAACGAGUCAUCUAGUGUGUACAAGGCUCAGAGGAGUCUGGAGCGCAUUGUGGCAGGAAUGCAGGAUCAUGCACAGUGGCGGAGCUUCAGCCACUUCUCCGGGCGGGCCAAAACAUGUCUUGUUAGGCAAUACCAUUGAAAUUUCGCUUUCAGGGCCCAGAUACAGUACCAGUCUUCAUUGAAUUCCUGCUGGGCUGGGUGGGCCAUGGCCUGGUUUGGCCCAGCCGCAGCUCUGCCCCUGAUCAUGCAUACACAGAGGGCUUGUGCGGCUUCCAGGAGACUUGACCGGGAGCAUGGUUGACAUGACGUAGGGUGGAGCAUGGUUGCAAUCGGAUAAGUUCGGCUGGGUUGGAUUAUACAGUCUGAUGGAUCGAUGUGAGUCGGUCAGUAUAGAAAACGAUGGUGAUUUCAGCCACGAUGACAUAUGAGCGUGAUGCUGAUAGUGACCGACUUAUGGGGUGUGGAAACACGUGGUGCGGACCUGAGGGCUUGUGCUGCUUCGACAAGACUAUGUCUAUGGCACAGGAUUGAAGACAGCGUACGGAUGUGAACUUAAAGUCGACGGGGCGCGGGGUAGCACGACCAGCUACAUGGAGUCAUGCUGAAGGUGGAGCUGGAGUGAUCAAAGACUUCAUUUGGUGAUGAUGGAGGGGCUACGUUGUAAGGAUAUCGAGAAUCGAAGCCUAUUUUAGCGGGUAAAGCGAGAUACGUGGUUCGGACUAGGGCCCAGUGGUCUGAUGGAAAUGUGGUACUCAAAAUUUGUUGGUGAUCAUCGGUGGUUCUCUGUAGUGGUGGUUGAGGUGGUGUAGGCUAGCUACCGAGGAGACAUGGUAUAAUAUCAAAUCAAAUGUACAUGGAGGUUCGACGCAUGGAAGAAUCAAAGAUGGUGGAGAAUAUUUGCUAAAAUGGAUUUUGCUGGAAUUGUGCCAAAUACUUGUACAAGGUAGGUUCGGUUGGACUUGGAUUCAAACCGUGUGUAGAUAAGGUACGGAGACAUGUUCGAGUAGGACACUUGUAUUCUAGGCCUCUUAUAUAAUGUGGGGAUAGACACACGAUGUAAUGUAUGCCACAACAUAAUAGCACAGGCGCGCAGGAGAGCCGGCGCCUGGGUGGCCAGUGUGCGGUAUUAUAGCGGUAUCAUGGGGAGGAGCGCUCAUAGUCAGGCCCUGCGAAUGUAGCCGAUGUUUAGUGAACCUCGUUAACAAAUCUCGGAUUGUGUCUUGUGUGAUUGCUUGGGUCCUUGAUAGAUCAAGUACGCGCCUCAGAUUAUUCUAAGAGGAACCAACGCCAUACUUUCCGCAGUAAAACGACGUUGUUGAACGUGGAACCAAAAAAUGGUCGGGAUGGCAUGCAACAUUAUGAAGGCGAACGGCAUGCCGGACUACUAGAGGAAGACAAUGACCACCAUGUACUUCUUCAACCAUGCGCACACUCGGAGCAUCGAGGCGAUAACCCCCUACGAGGCCUGGCACGACAAGAAGCCUGAGGUCGAACACCUGUGCAUCUUUGGCUGCGUCGCGCACGUCAAGACGGUGCGGCAAAUCUCAAGAAGCUGUAUAACCGAAGAAUCCCAUGGUGUUCAUUGGGUACGAGCCGGGCUCAAAAGCUUAUCGGGUGUACGACCCCACCAGCCGUUGUCUACACGUCUUUUGUGGCGUGGUUUUCAAUGAGGAUGUGAGCUGGAGCUGGGGUUAGGAGGCAGACCACCUUGGUGGCACCUUUACCGUCGACCUCAUCGUGCAUGUAGGGGCGAGGACAACGUCAGGCAGAAACGCGGCCAUGGCAGCACCAGGACCAUCUGCAGCAGUGGGCAAAAACCCUGCAAUGGCAGCCACCCCAGCGGUGCUUCCUCAACACCCAGGAACGCUGCCAUGGCAGCCAGCACCCUAGAGCCUGCCGGCACGCAGGAAGUUGAGUUCGCGCCACUUUAUGGCGUGACGAUGCUCAAUGAUGCUAGCGACCCCGACGCCGUGCAUUGGUGUCACCGCGUCACCGAUCUGCUUGAUCAGGGUGGGACUAACCCAGGAGGGGCGGAGCGCCGCCUUUUGAUGUCGGAGGGCGAGCUGGCGAAUUUCCCUACGCGGAGCCCUAUGCUGCUUGGCCGGCCACGGUGAUCGACGAGAUGGCGCCCAUUGAAUCUAACGGGACUUGGUCCCUCUCUAAUCUUCCCGCAGGUCACCAACCCAUUGGUCUGAAAUGGGUGUUGAAGGAGAAAAAGAACACAGUCGGCGAGAUGAUCAAGCACAAGGCUCGGCUUGUCGCAAAGGGCUACGUGCAGCGCACCGACAUCGACUUCAAGGUGUUUGCACCAGUAGCUCACCUCGACUAUGUGCGCGUGCGGCUCGCUGUCGCCUGGGAUGUGCAACACCAUGACGUCAAGUCGCGUUCCUCAAGAGCGACCUUGAUGAGGUGUGCGUGGUGCAGCCUCCUGGAUUCGUGUGCGAUGGUGCCGAGAGCAAGGUGCUCAGCCUGCACAAAGCCCUCUAUAGUCUUUGUCAGCCACCACACGCCUGGAACGUGGAGCUUGAUAGCAGCCUCGCUGCGUUCGGCUUUGACAAGUGCCCAUCAGAGCACCGGGCGGCGGUGAAACAACCGAUGCGCUACAUUACCGACACACGUUAGUUCAAGUGCCGCUAUUCAUGGCAGCAGCAUGACACAAGGCUCGGCAGUUACAACGACUCCGAUCUGGCGGGCGACAUCGACAAUCGAAGAGCACAAGCGGCACCAUCUUCUUCCUCGGAAGGUGCCCCGUGUCCUUGAAAUUGGCAAAUCACAAAAUAGUGGUGCUCUCGUCUUGCUAGGUGGAGAGGCGGAGUACGUUGCCAUGGCGGGUGUGCCAUGCUAGGGUAUCUGAUAGGUGAGCUGCUUGGACGCCAGGAUGGUGCCGUCGAGCUCUGCAUCGACAACAAGUCAGCCAUUGCGCUGACCAAGAAUAAUGUCUUCCACGACAGGAGCAAACAUAUCGAGCUCCGCUACCAUUUCCUUCUCCAGUGCGUCGAUGACAGGCAACAUUCACAUUCAGUAUGUGCACACUGGUGAUCAGCUCGCCGACAUUCUGAUGAAGGCUCUCAGACGUGCCCAUUUUCGGAUCUGUGCGACCACAUCGGCAUUGUCAGAGUGCUGAAUAAGUAGAUUAGGGGGAGUUUGUUGGCUAAUCUUGUUAUUUCUUUAGCUUGUUAGUUUUAGCUGUAGCUAGUUUUCAGCUAAAUUAGUCUUUGCACGAAACCGAUUGCCUGGGAUGUGGGAUGGCACGGCUCGUGUAGGGCAUCGCGUGCACAGUCCACGAUCGUUUUUAGUUGAAUAAAAGCAGAAGAACAAUGGCAGAAAAGCUGCAAGUUCACAGCACACAACUCUCUCUCGCUCGCUGUGUUCAUUGCCACUAUCGGCUACAUGUAUAAGGUCUUUAACUCACAGUCUGGAUCGGCCCCUCAGACUAGAGACCUUUAGGUUCCUUCUCCGAAUCCAGUUAUCUCACCAUAUACGGAUCUUCUCUCCUGUGUGCACAUGCUAAAUGACACCUUGCUUUAGCAGCUCCAAAUCAUGAACAAUCCCUUGCCAACAAGUCGAAGCAUUCUGACUAGAAGAAGGAUCAACAAGAUCGCCUGAAGGGUAACAGUUCUCUUUGAGUAGCUGAGCACUCAAACUUUCAGGGUAUGCAAUAAGGCAUCAGGCUUGUCUCACACGAAGUGCUUGAUUAAACAGUCUCAGGUCCCUAAAGCCCAUGCCACCUUCAAGCUUUGGUCAAACAAUUUUGUCCCAAGCCAUCCAAUGUACAUUCCUUUUAUCUGUCUCCUCAACUGUAAGGAGCUAGCUGUAGUCUUGCUCGUAAUCUCUCUCUGGGGAAGGUUUGAUAUAGAGUAGCAAAUUACAACCAGAGGUUACAGGCGAAUUGGGGAAGAACAGGGAAGAACUGGAGGUAGGGGAAAGAGAGGAAGGUAGCCGCCGCCGAGCCGUUCGUGAUCCACUGGAUGGCCUCCUUCAUCGCCUCCUCUUGCGUAUUUGUAGUCUGGUGUUUCUCAAGCGGGCCAGGCCCAUAAGCUGGACGGGGCAAGCCCAUAUAGGCAAGGAGGGAUCCUAACAUCCCUCCCACCCUCCUUGAGAUGCGGCUUGGCCCCAAGCCGCAGCAGCCGAGAACCACCCGGGUCCCAUUGCACUCAAUGUUGCUUGGCAUGGUCGUAGUCGUGGUGGUAGCUGUAGUUGAUGUUGACUUCAACGCUGUAGUGGUUGUAGUGGUGGCCAACGGAGGCUUGCCGACGGGAGGUGUCGAGGUAGUUGUUAUGGCCACCAGGGUCUUGAUCGCCGUAGUAAGUGUAGUAGAUGCAGCAAACAUGCCCAGCAUGAGCUCCGUCGCCCCUCCAUCCUUGAGUAACUUCUUGAUAGCAAUUGGGAUGCAGCAGUCCCCAUGCAUAACAACCCAAGGGAACACAACCCUCGCCGUUCUAGCCGCUUCCAACCUCCUCUGGCCAUUUGCUUAAAGAGCCUUGUAGUUUCCACUCACGCUUGCACUGAUCACCGUCGGCCUGUAUAAUUGCACAGAUGGGAACCUCACAGUGAUGCCCUGAAGCAUCUUCAAGUAUAGUGGGGAUACUCAUUCUCGCUGAACUAGAGUUCACAAUUCCAAAAUAUGCAGAGAAUGUUCGCUGAUUUGAAUAUGGCAGCGACUCCCAAAUGUCACCGAUGUCCCACAAAGCUUGCGGCUCACAGGCUUCGCCGCAUCCAACAAGCUGACUAUAUGUGUUGAGUGUAUCAUAUUCAGAAGUGAUUCCCAUGAGGUUGCUCCUGAUACAAGUGUCAGAAAUGCAGUAAUACCAAGCUUCAUGUGCAUAAACAUCUGUGGAUAGUAACUUCACUGGCCCAAAAUGGGAACCUGAUUAUUGUACUUUGAAUAACUGCAAAUAAUUUUAUGUAGGAGGUCUCUGAAUUCUCCCAGUCUGUAGUGCCUCAGUUCCAAUUCCCUGGAAAUAAUUCCCCUCAACUCUGGCCAACUGGAACUUGCAUGUGUUUUAGUAUCAGUUGGCCGAUGAUUCGUUUCAUUGUAUCUCGAGUUGAACCAUGCACCAGCCCUUAUAAUUGCUGAGAUACCCCAUACCAAGCGAUGUACUGAAUCAAUUGUAUGCGCAGUAUAAUCACAUAGAUUAUUUUGACUGGAGUCUGCCAUUCCCCAAUAUGCAAGGUGGGGCUGCUGAUUCAAUCGGAACAAGAACGCCCAGUCCUCAGGAGCUUGCUUCAAUGGAACUUGCGCAUAAUAUUCAGGCAGCCAAAUGUGCUUGUCCACCAGACUAGUGCUAGCAAACAAGGUUUUAAGGGAAGGAUCAUCUCUGAACUGAACUGCUCUAUAGACGCAUGAAAAUGAUGGCCAGGGUAACUUAAGCGACACAUUCCCUUGAGUGCAUACUGCAUAAGAUGAAACUGAAGGUCGCCAUGCGUAUGACUGGUGGCUUGUAGAGAAACCCGGCAAGGGAAGUACUAGGAUAGUACAGGGAGGUGUUUCCCCUUGUAAUUGUUCUAUGGAUAGUACUAACACACUCUCCAUGCCACUGCCCUUGUUCAGCUGCUGAGCGAUAGGCCUGACAGGUGCACCGGCUAUACUGAAAGCCACUUGAGACGUGUCCCAAACAGAGAGAAGAACAUAUUGUGCACAGCUGCAUGCCCAGGAGCUACCAUAAUGUGCAAAAAUGACAUCUGAAUCCCACUGGCAAGCAGCCAGAAUGGCACAAGGGAACCAACAAUACGGGCGUUGUAAUAGUUGUGGCGGACAGCUUAACCAUAGAGACAAAAUUGGAAUUGAUAGUAGCUCAUAACACAUUUGGCAAAGUACCUCCCUUCACCUCCAUGAGCCGAGAACCUCUCAAACGCAACAACUGAACACCAUUUAUUGCAAUGCCAAGAUGUAUUAGUUGUCCAUGAAUUCAGAUAUGCAGCAAGAUCAUUGGGUAGUUCUGACCACACUUGCAUUGCUCGGCAAUUGCAAGAACAAGAUGGCCUUGGAAGCUUCAGAUGGACAUUUUGUUGACUGACCCUGAACAUCCGUUGUGCAUGUUGAGCAUGAAAUAUUCCAGAGAACUGCACAAAAACAAUAGGUGACUGCCUUUCCACAACACCCCGGUACAAAUCAUCCAUAAUUUGAGUUAUCAGCUGACUCGGAAGAGGAAUUUCUCUUGGCAUUUUUUAGGCCUAGGAAAACUACCUACAACAGCAACAACAACAACAACAAAGCCUUUAGUCCCAAACAAGUUGGGGUAGGCUAGAGGUGAAACCCAUAAGAUCUCACGACCAACUCAUGGCUCUGGCACAUGGAUAACAAGCUUCCACGCACCCCUGUCCAUAGCUAGUUCUUUGGUGAUACUCCAAUCCUUCAGGUAUCUCUUAACAGACUCCUCCCAUGUCAAAUUCGGUCUACCCGGACCUCUCUUGACAUUCUCCGCACGCUUUAGCCGUCCGCUAUGUACUGGAGCUUCUGGAGGCCUGCGCUGAAUAUGCCCAAACCAUCUCAGACGAUGUUGGACACGCUUCUCUUCAAUUGGUGCUACCCCAACUCUAUCUCGUAUAUCAUCAUUUCGGACACUAUCCUUCCUCGUGUGGCCACACAUCCAUCCCAACAUGCACAUCUCCGCCACACCUAACUAUUGAACAUGUUGCCUUUUAGUCGGCCAACACUCAGUGCCAUACAACAUUGCGGGUCGAACAACCGUCCUGUAGAACUUGCUUUUUAGAUUUUGUGGCACUCUCUUGUCAUAGAGAGUGCCAGAAAACUACCUACAACAGCAUGUUCAGAAAAAUUCCAAUGCCCCUGCUCAAGGACAGCUGUAAACUGAUGCUCAAGAGGUUCCAAUGCACAAACAGUAUUAACAGCGAUAGCCCCCCAGUGAAGCAAAAUUGUCAACAAUAGAAUAGUAUUCAUUCGGUAGUUCACACUUCAGCUGCAUACUGUGCAAAUACUUCCAGGAUUCUCUCAACGAUUUUGGAACACCAGAAAAAGGAAAAGUAUCUAGUGACAGCAGUCCAAUGUACUUCCUAUUAGGGAAAGAUACAACUUAGUAUUAUGAGGAGGCUAAAGCCAACAUAUAUACAUGUACAAGCCCCAAUAUGCUUGGUAAGCUCAUGCUUCACAGGAUCCCGCGCAAUAUUGAUAACACUUGUACUGUCUGACAAGAGGGUAGUAGGUGUAGUAACAGAAACACCAAAAUCCUCAAGCAACCAUCAUAACCAGGUCACCUCUGCCGUCAAUAGAGCCAUAGCCCGCAACUCAGCCUCUGCACUCGAAUGGGAAACUACAGUUUGUUUCUUUGUCUUCCAAGCAGUGAGAGAACCGCCAAAAAAAACACAGUAAGCAGAUAGUGAAUGACGAUCCGAGGGAUCACUAGCCCAUGUAGCAUCCGAAUAGGCCUGGAGCUCUAGCGAGCUGGAACGGGGAAAUAAGAGACGGUGAGAGAUCGUGCCACGAAGAUAUCGUAGAACACGAAGAAGGUGACUAUAUUGAACUGAAGUGGGAGCAGAAACAAACUGACUCAGAACAUGGACAGGAUAGGAGAUAUCUGGAUGAGUGACAACAAGAUAGACAAGACUCCCAACAAGCUGACGAUAACGCGUGGGAUCAGAUAAGGGCUCACCAUCGGAAGCACGAAGGUGAACAUUGAGCUCCAUAGGAGUCUUAGCGGUGCGCUCAUCACUAAGAGCCGCACGAGUGAGAAGGUCCUGGAUAUACUUUUCUUGGGAAAUAAAGAAGCCAUCAGAGGUAGAAGAAACCUCAAUCCCAAGAAAGUAGCAAAGAGGACCAAGAUCCGACAUACGAAACUGCUCACUAAGACGUGCCUUGACAAAGGCAAAGUACUCAGAGUCAUCACCAGUGAUAAUCAUGUCAUCAACAUAUAGCAGAAGAAGAGUCCUACCACAAGGAGAAAGGUGGACAAACAACGCUGGAUCAUGAACACUGGGCGAAAAACCAGUGGCAGUCGCCACAGAGGCGAAGUGCUCAAACCAAGCACGGGGGGCUUGCUUAAGGCCAUAGAGAGAGCGGCGAAGACGACAAACCAUGCCAUCAGGAACAUAAUACGCAGAUGGUGGCUGCAUAUAAACCUCCUAACGCAACUCACCAUUUAGAAAGGUAUUCUUCACAUCAAUCUGAGACACAGACCAAUGGCGAACAGAGGCCACGGCGAGAAGUGUGCGAACAAUGGUCAUAUGGGCCACAGGAGCAAAAGUCUAAUCGUAAUCACGACCAUGCUCCCGUUGAAAACCAUGAGCUACAAGACGAGCUUUAUAAUGCUCUAGAGAACCAUCAGAGCGGGUCUUAAUCUUAUAUACCCACUUACAAGUGAUAGGACGAACACAGGGAGGAAGAGAAACUAGAUCCCACGUGUCGGUGCGCUCAAGGGCGGCAAUCUCCUCUGCCAUCGCAAACUGCCAUUCAAGAUGAACAACAACAUCUCGAUAAGAAGUCGGCUGAACAACGGUCGAAAGACCAUAGCAAGAAGGAGAAUAUCGGUCAGGGGGCAGACAAGGCCGAGAGCGAAGACUGUAAGUCGGCUGAGAGGAGGAAGACACACUGGAAGUAGAGGGCACAUUAGUAGACUCAUCCACAACACGUGAACGACAAGUAUAAUGGAAAGGAAAGGAGGAAAGAGGUGGAACCACUGGAGGUGGAGACGAAGAAUAUAACGGUGAUGAAGGUGUAGAAGUGGAAGGUAUCGGUGAUGAAGGUGGAGAAGUGGAAGGUGUUGAUGGUGAAGGUGGAGAGUCAUGCGAGGAGGGGGAAGAAGAACCCGUACGUAGGAGAGGACGGCGUCCAAUAUACAACGGCGGGACGAGGAGUAGGAAUACUAGGCAUAGAGGGAGGUGUAUCCGAAAAUGUAAGAAAAGAGAUGUCCUCCGUGGUAAAGGCGGCAGAGGAUGGACGCGGGUAGAAGGGGCGAGACUCAUGAAAGGUCACAUCCCGGGAAAUACGCAUCCGGUGACCGAUAGGAUCCCAACACCAAUAGCCCUUAUGCUCAUCACUAUAUCCAAGAAAGACACACUCAACAGACUGAGCAGUCAGUUUGGUGCGUACACAAGGGGCAAGCAAAACAUAGCAAACGCAACCAAACAAACGAAGCGCUGAAUAAUCAGGAGAAUGACCAGAAAGAUGCUCGAGAGGAAUACCACCUUGUAGAGUAGCAGAUGGCUGAAUAUUGAUGAGAUAGGUGGAAGUGGUAAUAGCCUCAGCCCAGAAGUGAGGUGGAAGAGAGGCGGAGAUCAUCAUUGCACGCGCUGUCUCAAGAAGGUGACGAUGCUUGCGCUCAGCCACACCAUUCUGAGCAUGAGCACCAGGGCAAGAGAACUAAGUAAGAGUACCCUGCUCAGCAAGGAAACCUCGCAGCGCAUGGGAGAUAUACUCACCAGCUAAAUCUGCACGAAAAACACGAAUAGGAGUGGAAACUGUGUAUGAACCAUGGCAGCAAAUUUUUUGUAUAUAGAUAAGACCUCACUACAAGACGACAUGAAAUAGAUCCAAUUGUACUGAGAAAACUCGUCUAUAAAGAUAAUAUAGUAGCGAUGACCUCCUUUCGAAGCGAAGGGGGCCGAACCCCAAACAUCAGAGUGAAUGAGGUCAAAAGGGCGCCCGGAUACCGACUCACUGUGAGGAUAGGGUAGCUGAAUCUGCUUACCAAGCCUACAACCCAGACAAUCCAACGAAGCGUUACCGGAGACAGAUCCCAGAACACCACGAUGAACCAAGGACGAGAGACGCGAACCACAUAAAUGGCCAAGCCAAUGAUGCCACUGCUGAAAAGAGCUGGUAGAUGCAGCAACAGAGGUUGCGAAACUGGCGCCGGUGGCAUCAGAGGGAAGAUGAAGCCAAUCAAGCUCCCAGAGACCAUCAGGGCGUCGAGGGCCAGCACCAAGUAGGGCGCCUGUGCGACGAUCCUGAACAGAACACGAAUCAAAGUCGAGAAUGACCCGACAACUAGAGUCAACAAUCUAACCUCCAGAUAUGAGCUGCAUGGUAAGUCGAGGAACAUGAGCGACAGAGGGAACAUGAAAUGAAGAAGUGCUAAGAGUGCCUCGACUAGCUACAGGGAGGGGAGUGCCAUCAGCCGUAAAAACACGAAUAAGAGACUCGACAGGUCGAACGGAGGUCAAAGUGGAAGAAUCAUAAGUCAUAUGAAAAGAUGCUAUGGUGUCAAGAAUCCACGGGGAUGUACCUGAAUAAGAAGGUGGUUUCUCAGUGCCAGAAGAGACAGUCACGGAAACUGCAGAACCUGUCGGUGAAGAAUCCCAGGCAGCAAGCAGGCAUCGCAACUGCGCAAUCUCACGCGCAGAUAGGGACACGACAGAGGAGGUCGAGGUAGAAACACGUGUUGAUGGCGAGCAGUCGCCACCACCUGUGGAAGCGGCGUGUAGAGUCGAUCGCGAGUAGCAAGUCGACGUAGAGCCACAUGUGGAAGCCAAUGGGGGAGUCGAUGUAGAGCGAUCACCGCCGCACGCGAAAGCCGCGGGAGGAGUCGGCGUAGAGCGGUCACCGCCGCGCACGGAAGCCGCGAGAGGAGUUGGCAUAGAGCGGUCACCGCUGCACGCGGAAGCCACGAGAGGAGUCGAUGUAGAGCGGUCACCACCGCACGCGGAAGCUGCGGGAGGAGUCGGCGUAGAGCGGUCACCGCCGCGCACGGAAGCCGAAGGAGUCGAUGUAAAAUGGCUAGCAACACCGGCGGAUGUCGCAUAAGGUGUCGAAGUAGGGCGACAAGCACCACCUCCAAGCAGGCGAGCAGCAAGCACCGAGGAAAGGCGCUUGUGCGAGACGGGAUUAAUGUAUAGAAUACCAUCGAAAAACACCGGGCAACGCAGGAGAGGCGUACCGGACGAAAACAUUGCACCUCUUUUUUUUAACUCCUCUUUCUUUUUUUUUCUUUUUUUAACAAUCACAGAACUGAAGCCAGACAACCGGAAGCAGAAGCAGGCCAACUGGAGCCUUGCUGCCCAUAAGCAGCCCAAAGCAGAGCAAUGCACACGCCGCACAGGGUGGACGCGCACAUACACAGAGGAAGUAGGUGGAUCAAUUCUGUCCACCCAGUCAAAUACAUGUCCUGAGAUGAAACCAAUCCCAGUGGCCGGUCUAGCACGGGAAUCACGGGAAUCCAGUUGACCGGCGACCGGCGGCUGUUCUUGGACGGAAUCCAGCGGACGCGUACGGCAGCGGAGUGGCCUAGAGGAGGGGCAGCGGGGCGGACGCGGGAGCGCAUGGCCUGAGGCGGCAGCAGGAACCGGCGACUGACGGACGCGUACGGCAACAGAGCAAUAUGGAGGAGGCGAAGCGGGGUGGACGCGGACGCACACGGCCUGAGGUGGGGCGGCAGCGGCUUGGCCGGGAGAAGGCGGGACCGGCGUCCUACGCGGGCGUCCCGAUCGACCAGAAAUUAGGGCCGGCGUCCUGGGUGACUUGGAUCAGAAGAGCAGCGGACGAGAGGGACCAGUGGCAGCGUAUGUCCUUGGCAUCGAUUGCUACGAACAGAUCAAUUUAGAAGAGAUCAAUCGAGAGAAGAAGACCGGAAAAAAUCGAUCGUCAAGCGAGUUGCAGCGCCAGAGAAAGCCUAUGUUAGGGAAAGAUGCAACUUAGUAUUAUGAGGAGGCUAAAGCCAACAUAUAUACAUGUACAAGUGGGAGGCCAAAGGCCAGAAUGCAAAAGGCCAAAGGUCAUCAGAAAUAUAACUCUAACACUUCCGACAUAGUUCAUGAGAGCAAGCUAAUGACGGCCAUGGCCGUUUCUUGUUUCCAACUGCAUGAUCUCUCCAAAAUGAUGGCCAUGGCUUUGGUCGUAACAACAACCAUGAGGGAGUCACGGCUGGGUGGAUCACAUACCUCAGCAGGUUGGUGUCAUGAUGAGAGUAUUUUGUCGAACACGUGGUAAGCAUUGACGCAGAGAGGUCGCUGGGGAUGAUGAGGAUGCUGCCAUGGUCCUCCUUGCUCAUCACUUGGGUGGAGGUGUUGACAGAGAGGGCAUUGAGCUCUUGCACGACGACCUUGGGGUCAAUGUCGAUGGUGGUCGUCACGGUCGAAACGACCUCGGCACUAGAGGAAGUGGUGCCAAUGGAGGUCGUUGCCUCAACCAGAGCGAGCUGCUCGACUGCUUGGUGGAUGGGGUCGACUGUUGGCUCUAGGUGGACGGCGGAGGCGGCGUCAUGGACCUCGUCGAUGUUGUCGAUGGUGAUGACAUGGGUCGAGCACUCCGUUGAACAGGUGACGGGCACCAUCACGGUGCAAACCAGGACUGCAUCAGGAGUGAUCGUGGGGAUCUCCUGAGCCUCAAUGGUGGGCCAGAGACAUCAGGGACGGUUGCCGACGCGUCGGUUGUGCUCUCCGGCGAAGUGGUCGCUAAUGGUGGAUUGUGGACGAAGGCGGGUGAACUGGUGGCCCAACUGGUGUCAAGGGCGUUCAGUUUCUUGGUGAGGGACCUGGUGGCGUUGGUGUAGGCAUUGAGACUGGCGUUGAGCCGCUCGAGGUAUUCACUGAUCAAUGGAUCCAUGGCCUUCUCUCGAAUGGUGGUAGUGAUAAAAAAUUAUGGAAGUAUUUUGGGAAGGAAGGGUGGUGCCUGGCUCUGAAUACCAGAUGUAAGGAGCUAGCUGUAGUCUUGCUCGUAAUCUGUCUCUCUCAGGAAGGUUUGAUACAGAGUAGCAAAUUACAACCAGAGGUUACAAGCGAAUUAGGGAAGAACAUGGAAGAACUGGAGGUAGGGGAAAGAGAGGAAGGUAGCCGCGGCCGAGCAGUUCAUGAUCCACUGGAUGGCCUCCUUCGUCGCCUCCUCUUGCGUAUUUGUAGUCUGGUGGUUCUCAAGCAGGCCAGGCCCAUGAGCUGGACGGGGCAAGCCCAUAUAGGCAAGGAGGGAUCCUAACAUCAACCCACCAGAAUUUCCGGGUAAUUUGCGAUAUCACACAGCCCUGCCAAAAACUUGAAAAUACUUUAUUUUUCGAGAAAACGCAAAAGACUUUUGCAUUUCAUUGCAUUGAAGAGAAGAAGUUUGGCAGAAUCCUCCUAGGAGGCGAGUUUACAAGAUGAGUACAGAUACACUAGUGGACAUCCCAAGUCUGAGGCAGGAUGGCGUCGAGUCCUAAAGCUCCUGCUCUGGCCUAGAAGGCAGCCUCUUCCGUAAUCCUAGCGACCAGGGAGGUAACCAAUGGGAGGUGCCCUCAAAAACGCACCCAUCGCGAUGCUUCCAAAUCAUCCAAGGGACAAGCAAGGCAGUGGAAGCCAAUCCCUUGUGCAUGGGUUUAGGGUUGUCUUGUCUUGCUGAGCGCCACCAGUCGUGGAGAGUGGCGUCAUCGUUGGGUAGCAGGCAGGAGAGGUGCAGCCAUGAGAGGAUCUCGUGCCACACCUGUCGGCUGAAAGGGCAUCCCAGGAGAAGAUGAUGAAUCAUCUCCGGAGCCUGAUCGCAUAGCGGGCAGCGCUGUGGGUGCGGCAGGUUGCGUCGCGCUAGGCGGUCUGCCAUCCAGCAAUGGUCAAGGUUGGCAAGCCAAUGGAAGAAGCGCACACGCGGCGGUCCAGCACUUCUAGGUGAGUCUCCAAGCCUGGCAGCGGGUGGAACCAUGGAAGGUGGCAAGGUAUGCAGACUUGGCGGAGUACUCGCCAUUCGCGCUCCAGUUCCAGCGAAUGCAGUCCGACGCGUAAUUGAGGGUAGUCUCGGCGAUCAUGUGCCAAAGGCAUAGGUAUUCGCCAAUCUCCGGGAUGCCAAUCAUGUCGUGGAUGUCGGUGUCCCAUUGGUUCGCAUGGAGGCCGUCAGCAACAGUUCUGGACUUGUGACAUCGCUUGGGGAUGCGAGCGUAGAGGAGAGGCGCAACCUCACAGACCGCUCGCCCGUUGAUCCAUCCAUCCUCCCAGAACAGGGCAUGCAGGCCAUUGCCGAUUGUCAUGGUAGUGGAGGCGAAGAAGAAUGCGCACUCCGCAGGCGAGAAUUGCAAGUCAAGGCCGUUCCAGGCCCUGCUAUCAUCGACGCGGCUGAGCCAUUUCUACCGCGUGCGCAAGGUGAGGCCGGUGCACUCGAGGUCAUGGACGCCGAGGCCGCCAAACGGGAUUGGCCGACAGACGCGCCGCCAGUUGACGUGGGAAUUGCCACCAUUGGCCUCGGCACGGCCAGCCCAAAGGAAUCCUCUUUUGAUCUUCUCCAAGAGCUUGAUGGUCUUCCUUGGCGGCGCGAGCACAAGGAGCUGGUGGAUGGGGGAUCGCGCUCAGGACAGCCUUGACGAAGGCAAGGCGGCCGGCUUUGUUCAUGAGCCACGCCUUCCAGAAGGGUAACUUCCCAGCGACUUUGUCGACGACAGGUUGAAGCUGGGCAGCGGUGGGGCGACGCAGCGUGAGCGGGAUGCCCAGGUAGGUUAGCGGGAAUUCGACGAUGGGGCAUCCCAGGCGCUCGACGACAUGGGCGGCAUCCUCGGUGUCUCAUCGGAAGAGGGCUGAGGCGCUCUUCUGGAAGUUCAUGUGCAGGCCCGAGGCACACCCAAAGAGAAUAAGAUUUCCUUCACCGCCGCGAUAUCACCCGGCGAGGGGUGGCAUAGGAGAAUUAUGUCGUUGGCAUAGAGAGAUAUGGUAGGUAUGGUGCGGCAUGGAUGGAACUGUUGCAUAACACGGAGCUCGACCGCGCGAUCGAAGAGCCUGCCCAGCGUAUCGACAGCUAGGACGAAGAGUUGUGGGGAUACGGGGUCACCUUGGUGCAGCUCACAACUGUGCCAGAUCGCGGGUCCGGGGGUUCCGUUCAAGAGAACCUUGGUGCUGGCGACGACAGGAGUAGAGCGAUCCAAUCGAGGAAGCGAUUGCCAAAGCCAUGGCAUCGCAGCACCUCGAACAAGAACGGCCAUGAGACGGAGUAGAAGGCACGCGCCAAGUCAAGGUUCAGAAGCACGCGGGGGGCACCGAGAUGGUGCAAACAGAAGCGCGGAUUGGCGCACCAGGAUGAAAUUGUUGUGAAGGCUUUGCCCGGGGAUGAACGCAUUUUGGACGUUCCUGAGCAGGUUCUUGAGCUUGGGCGCUAGGCGGAGCGAAAGCAACUUGGCCAGGACCUUGGCGAGCGAAAACUUGAAAAUAUUGUUGCAUAAGUUGGGAUUGUUUGCACCAUGGAUUGAUAAGAACUUCCUUAGCACCAUCAGAGAGGUACUUCUCACUCCAAUCCAAACAUCUUUUGCUAAACUUGUCCUUGAUGUACCGGAGGGCCCAAGUAUUUCUCUUCGAAACCCACUGUUGUGAUAUCAAGACUUGACUGGUGUCAGACUAUUGAUGCCAUUUGUUUGCCACAUCAUCAAACAGGGAAAGAUAUAGAUAGAUGGUGAAAUAUGGCACGGGUGAAGGUAAGAGCUUACUGUGGUAACACAAACCUUACCCGUUCCGUCAGCAUGAAGUGGUUUGUUUGAUGACACGACAUGACAGACAUGCACUAUCCAUGUCAGCCAAAAUCACUUGUAUAAACACCCGAGAUUGCGAAGUAGACGAUUUUGAUACUUCGAGGUUGCAACUCCCAUGGUUUUAGGGUUCAGGGUUGAAAAGUGGACCCAUUUUUAGUCUAAUAUAUAGCUGGCUUGACAGAAAGCUUGGUCCACAAUUGCUAUCCUGUACCUCCACCUUAAUUCCUCUGAAAGCAAGAUCCAUAUACUCUGAUCUACACCACUAUUUAACUGUUCUAGUCUAUCUUGGAAUAUCAAAUCUGGGUCCCCACUGUACACCCGUGUUCAGUUUGGCAGGGAAUGGAUGCCCUUGGUAAUCUAGGUAAAAAAGUUAAAAAAUCCCUAUGUAUAGGAAAAAGAAAAUUGGAUGGACCGUAUUUUCUUCGCCACGGAUACAAUGGCCACUCAUUCCCCACGAAACUGAAUACUGGUGUACAAUGGGCACCCAGGUUUGAUAUCCCAAAAUUUCAGAAUUUUUUGAAAUUUUCUGAUUUUUUUAAUGCUAUAUUCAUAUAGGGGGGUGUGGCACCCGAGAGCUGCGAUGCAUUUUUCCUUCCAUGCAUGCCAUAUACUAUCAUGUUGUAAAUGGGACAUUUUGAUGGACUAAGAUUAAUUAUACUCUAUCCCAAAAUAAAUGUCUCAAGCUUAGUUCAAUUUGUACUAAAGUUAGUACAAAGUUGAGACACUUAUUUUGGGACGGAGGGAGCAUUUGCAGGAAAACAACAUAUGCUUGGUAAACAUUUCAAAAUUGUUCACAGACAUUAAAAUAUGUACAUUUCAUAGCUGAACUUCUUGGUUGAAGAAAACUUCACAUGGCUAAUUCAAAUAAACAUUAAUGUUGUUGUGCAGGUAGGUCUUAUCCUUCGUGCACUGGGCUUUGAUAAUACAACACACAUUUACCUUACUUCUGGAGAUCUCUUUGGUGGGAAACGCUUCAUGAGGCCCUUCAAGGCUAUGUUUCCGCGCCUAGAAAACCAUAGCUCCGUUGGACCUGGAAAGCUGGAAGAAAAUACCCAUGGGUUGGCAGGUUCUGCAGUUGAUUACAUGGUCUGUCUCCUAUCAGACAUUUUUAUGCCCACAUAUGAUGGCCCAAGCAACGUUGCAAACAACCUCACUGGUCACCGCCUAUACUAUGGUUUCCGUACCACCAUCACACCAAAUAGGAAGGCCCUUGCUCCGAUAUUCAUGGACAGGGAAGUAGGCUCGACAGCUGGUUUUGAGGAGCGAGUGAGGCAGGUCAUGAUGAAGACAUAUGUUGGUGGCCCCCACAAGCGCAUUCAUCCGGAACCUUUCUAUACAAACUCAUGGCCAGAGUGCUUUUACCAGGAGAACCCUAGGAAUCAUGCAGACAAAUGCCCACCAGACAAUAUAUACGAGGUUCUGGAGAAUCAAUUUCGGAGUGAAGAGAAUGAAGAAAGUAUAGAAGUGAAAGCCACGAGUCAGACUGAUUCAAUCAGCCAAACCGAAGAGAUUGUGAUUUAACUGAGGAACCAAACUGUUAUUGUCUCAGAGGACGAGACUGGAUCAUUUAUGCCUGUAGCAGAUUAUUGCAUUUUCGAAUGGAU
rnacentral:lncRNA from 1 species